rnacentral:lncRNA from 1 species
GCGGAUAUCCGGCUCCUGCUCCGGGAUAUGGCAGCCCGUUCGCGGCUUUGGUUCCGUCGGUGUUCCCGCCGGGCACGGACCCGAACGUCAUAGCUUGCUUUCAGCUGGCGGAUCAGGACGGCAGCGGCUUCAUCGACGACAAGGAGAUGCAGAGAGCUCUGUCGUCGUACAAUCAGAGCUUCAGCUUGAGGACUGUUCAUCUUCUCAUGUACCUCUUCACCCAGACCAACACCAGGAAGAUCGGUAACAAUUUACAAACCUCAUCACUCCAUGUUUGCAUAUCUUUGUAAUUUUUUGAUCGGCGCACUGAACGGUGUCGCCUGCGCCGAGUCAGUGAUCUGACACUGAGUCGCGGUUAGAAACUUAGAAUCAGUGAAUGUCCAUCAUGCCCUUAACGCCUAUCGGAUAUAAUCCAUAGAAUGCGUAUGUGGUAGUCGUGGUCAGUUGACCGUUGAAUCUUUAUGACAUCAUGCGUUAUGCUUAUCCACAAAAAGAUAAUAUGAGACUAAGUUUUGGUUUACAAAAUUCACAUUGGAAAUUUGGUCUUUUUAGUAUUUAGCUUUUCUAAAAUUACCGAGAUGGAAACAGAUCGUUGCCGUCUUGGCAAUUUAGUCCAUCAUGUCAUGCUUAUGUUUUUUUAUUUACGUGGCGUGAUAUUUUAUUAGUGGACUGGACACCACUAUGGCGGUGAACCCUUUAUAUGCAACUUGCUCUCGAGUAUUUGCUAAUUUGGUACAGUUUAUCUUUGUAAAUAAUGAUAUUUAUGUGUGUGUGUGGGUAAAUUGUGAAAACAGGGCCCAAGGAAUUCGCUGCACUGUUCUACAGUCUUCAAAGUUGGAGGGUAAUCCCAAUAAUUUUCUUUUUUUUUUUCCUCUUUUAUAAUCAUUUUGUUUUUAAUUUUAAUCUUCUUCUAAAAACUGAAAUCUUAUUUGGUUUCAUUUUUUGCUUCUUAGUUUUCAUUUUUUUGAAAAUUGAAAAAAAAAUGCAGUUACCAAACAAGAUUUCAAUUUUUAGUUAAAAAAAUCAAAAGCUAAAAAUCAAAACAAAAAACUGAAAACGAAAUGGUUAUUAAACAUCUCAUAAGAUUUUGUCUUUUAAUUUUUGUGAGAAAUUAACUGUUUUGUAAUUGGUGUGGUUGAUCAGGGAGUGUUUGAGAGGUUCGACCGGGACAGAAGUGGGUUCAUUGAUGCAAAUGAGUUGAGAGAUGCACUGCUGAGUCUGGGAUUUGCUGUCUCACCUGUAGUUUUAGAACUGCUGGUCUCUAAAUUCGACAAGACUGGAGGCAAAAAGAGGGCCAUUGAAUAUGACAAUUUCAUCGAGUAUGUUUCCUUUUCCUUUUUUUCUAUCAUUCUUUUUUGGGAUUGGUUUGAGGAUCAAAUCCUUACGCAUUAGAUACUUACAGCAUUUCAUUGUGGUAUAUUUUAUAUUAUGUUUUCUUAUCGAUAUCUGAUGAUUCCUUGUUCGUUUGUUUUGAUUAAAUGCAGGUGCUGUCUGACUGUUAAGGUGAGUUCGAUUUUCCCUAAGGCUUAUAUUUUGUGCACUUAAUUUAUAGUGUUAAUUGGGGAAACCUAGCGUUGGCUUGAAAGUUGAUUCUGAUUUAUGCAUAGUUUGUACGGUUGAGUAUUCAAAACUCUAAGUUAUUGCUGCAGUUAGUUGACAAGCAUUUCAAAAAGAGGACGAACAACCCCUUUAUUUCGUUGCUUAAUUUCUUGGCUGGGAAACCAUAAAAUCAUUGUUCAUCACUGAAUCAUAUAGUUUCCACAAAAAUGGAUGUUCAUUAUCUCAAGAGGACAAGCUGUGGGUUAACAGCUAAACUGUCGAUACUUAAGGGAGCGUUUUCUUUUGUGAUGCUUGUGUCUUGCAGGGAUUAACCGAGAAGUUUAAGGAGAAGGACAAAGCGUACAAUGGUAUGGGAACUUUCAGUUACGAGGAGUUCAUGUUGACUGUCCUGCCAUUCCUCAUUGCGUAGGUUGUGUGUUGCUAAAGGCUUUAUGAAUUCGGUUCCGCGUCUUCCAGUGUUUUGUAAUAUCUAGUUCUUUCUUUCCUGUUUCUUAGUGGAGUGGAGUGCAAUAGCUGUAUUUUCUCACUGUAUAGCUUUCAUGUAACGAGGCUUCAGAGUCUGGUUUUACCAUGUUUUUUACUUUUGCAUCAUUUUCCUAUUAAAGGUUGGUGUCGUUGGAAAUAAAAUUUUGGGAAAUUUUAUUUAAAUCCAUCUAACCUAUUUAUACAUCCAACUUACUCUUUGCAUCCAUUUGAUUUUUAACUAAACUAUUAAUAUCUCUUUAAACCCAAAUUUAAUAUCUAAUAUACCCUAUAAACCCAAUUCAAUAUGUGCAUUUAUUUUUACACCUAUUGAAUUUUUAACUCAAAAGCUGCCGCUAUGCCACUUGACUUUUGAUGGUAAAGGGUUUACCUCCUCCUUAAACUUCUCCUCCUCUUCGUAACUGGACAAAGCAACUACUUCUACCUUCAUAUUAACAAAUGAAGUACCAGAGACAAUAGGCUUUAAUUAAUAAGAACAUUAUACAAAGCAAACAUGAUCAGAGAGUAGAGAAGAAUAACUUAUAUUCUUAGUCCUAGUAUUGAGGAAACAACUAAGCAAGAUAAUGCAAGGGAAUCAUGGUCACUGGGUCCUUUCACACCGAACAUUUUUUCAUCAUACGUAAGCAGUAAUUCAAAAGCAGGUUUAAUGUAUAAACAUAUGGGAAGAAGGAUUGGUAGGAUAUUCUCCAGACCACUAGGGUUGGACUUGAAAGCAAGAAAUCACUAGAAUUUCAGUAUUGAUUCUGGAAUUUGGGGCAGCAACUGCUUCAUAAUUUUUUUUUUUGUGUCAUGGCGAUUAAGCCAAAGGCUAUCAAAAAAAUCUGAGGAGUAAACAUAUGCUUUCGUUGUUGUUUGUUUUACCCAGAAGGUAGGAUGCUUUUGUUGUAUUUGUUGAAAAAAAUUACAGUAAAGUAACUUCUACACUCUAAAAAAUUUAAAAUCAAACGAACAAAAAAUUCAUAAAUUGAGUCAUACCUUGGUUGGAGGAUUCAAAACUUCAAAAUCACCAUCCAUCAAUAAAAAAAAACUUAUUUUUCUCUAUGAGAGCUAUUAGGGUUUUAGUCAGAAUGAACGUAGGAUAAACAAAGAGUGAUCGUAGGGUUUAAUUAUAGUGUUUGGGUUUAUUGAUAAAUUUGAGUUUUAUUAUUAAUUUCAUUUUGUACUUAAUAGUAAUUAUGCAAUAGGAUAAAAUAGACAAUUAACAUUUGAAAUUUAAAUUAGGUGUAAAAAAGAUUAAAUGGGUUUAAAUAAAAUUUCCUCAAAAUUUUCUUUGGCUAAGAAGUGAGAUGACUUUGACAUCAUUUUCCUAUGUAAUUUUUUUAUUUUAGCAAAAAAAAAAAAUUAAUAAUAAAUAAAUUGGACAUCUCCACAUUUAUUUUAGGGGUCAAUAAUUCCAAAACGAAAGCCCUUAAUCCAGGCAGGCACAUAGUAUCUUCUAAAUUUAUUAUGCAGUGACCAUUGUUUUUCCUAUGAAAUUGUUUUCCAUGUCAACAAGGCACGCUUACCAAAUUUAUGCAUUGAAUGUAUGUCAUCAAUCGAAUUUAUAUGGUGUAAAAUAUGACACAUCAAUUAAGUUUAUAGGGUGUAGAUGGGUCACAUUAUUUGGUGCACAAAUUUCGUGCACGAAUUUGGUGUAUGUAGCACCACCCAACACAAUAAGUUUUACAUCUCCAAGGGAGAUAGCCAAUUUUAUAUGUGAAAGUGUUAUUUGCUAACUACGUGGUACUUAUAUGCUACUAUCAAUUUUUUUUCUUCCAAUUACUUUUAACCCAACUCUUCAAAUUUUAUUCUCUAUCUUAAAAUAUUAGGAUUAAGUACUUAAAACCUGAACCUUGUAUUGUCAUUCCAAAUUAGUCUCAACAUUUUUAAACAUUCCAAAUAAGUACCUAAUCUAUUGAAAGUCAUAUAUGUUAAGUCUCAGUUAAUUUUUUCGUUAAAUGUACACGUGACAACAAUGGAUCCCAUUGAUUUGCUUAUUUGGAUACUAAAAUAAUAACAAAAGUAACUUCAAAAAAAAGACAUGAAGAUGCAUAAAAAAUAUAAAUAAAAAAUUCACAAAUAAAAUGGAAAACAAAAAUGAAGAUUGAGAAAUCUCCUAACAAAGAAAGAAGAGGUUAAGAAUUCAUAUAAGGUUUCAAAGAGCUUAUUUCUACUUAUGUGAUUUCCUCAUUCGCCAAUUUUUUGCUAGUAAAGCCUCGAGUUCUUCUUUAUGGGUGGUGAAGAUGGUGGGGGCCACAUCAUGGCAGUCCAUACCGUUUCAGCAACCUCCAUGACCUUCUUCUAGAUAUUGGCUGCUUGAGUUGUAGGGUAAAGUUUGUGGUGGUGCAUUGGGUUUGGAGGUAAGUGGUGGUGACUGUUACUUGAUGGAGGCCAUGCUUCCAUAACCUUCUAUUGAUGUUGGAGACAAAGUAAACCCUAAUUAAUUUAACAAAAAAAAUUAAUUAGGUCUUGACAGAUGUGACAUUUUCAAUAAAUUAGAUACUUGUUUGGAAUGUUUAAAAAGGUUGAGCCCAAUUUGGAAUAACACUAAAAAGUUGGAGAGUUUUAGGUAUUUAAUCCAAAAUAUUAUUAUAUCAUGUUUGUUUUUUGGGGCCCAAAUUUGGAAUAUAUCGCCGCACACGAUUUACUAGUUGAAGAAGUAGCAAGUAAUCUUAUAAAUAUACAAGAUCAAUUGCUACUUAUUAAUUUACUAAUUAGGUUGCUACCUAUGUUGAAGAUGCAUGUUUCCUACUUGAGGUAGCAAAUUUAACUUUGCUACUCAAUUGCUACCUCUCUUAGACCAUUUUCAACCCUUGGGUUAAAACCAAAACUUUUUAACCCAGAAAAUGUAGGUUUUAACACAGAAACAAUUUUUGUCACAUGGGCCUGGGCCCCCACCACAUCCCCGGCUCGACUCCGUCAUAACACGAUAUUGUCCGCUUUGGGCCCCAACCAUGCCCUCACGGUUUUGUUUCUGGGAACUCACACGAGAACUUCCCAGUGGUUCACUCAUCAUGGGAUUGCUCUCACAUGAACUUGCUUAACUUCAGAGUUCAGAUGAAACCUGAAGCCAGUGAGCUCUCAAAAGGCCUCGUGUUAGGUAGAGAUGGCAAUAUACAUAUAAGGUUUAUAAGAUCCACUCCCCUGGGCAAUGUGGGAUGUAACAAUCCACCCUUUUAGGGAUCGACGUCCUCGUCGGCACACUUCUGGCCAAAGAUUGGCUCUGAUACCAAAUUGUCACAUCCCGGCCCGGGCCUCAUGAUUUGUAGCAUCCCACAUCAUCCAGGAGAGUGGAUCCCGUAAGCAUUAUAUGUAUAUUUCCAUCUCUACCUAGCACGAGGCAUUUUGGGAGCACACUGGCUUCGGGUUCCAUCGGAACUUCGAAGUUAAGUGAGUUCGCGUGAGAGCAAUCCCAUGAUGGGUGACCCACUGGAAAGUUCUCGUGUGAGUUCCCAGAAACAAAACCGUAAGGGCAUGGUCUGGGACCAAAGCGGACAAUAUCGUGUUACGACGGAGUUGAACCUGGGAUGUAGUGGGGGCCCGGGCUGGGGUGUGACAAUUUGGUAUCAGAGCUAAUCCUUUGCCAGAAGUGUGCCGACGAGGACGUUGGGCUCCUAAGGGGGGAUGAAUUGUAGCCAUCCCACAUUGCCCAGGGGAGUGGAUCCUAUAAGCCUUAUAUGUAUAUUCCCAUCUCUACCUAGCACGAGGCCUUUUGGGAGCUCACUAGCUUCAGGUUCCAUCAGAACUCCAAAGUUCAGCGAGUUCAUGCGAGAGCAAUCCCAUGAUGGGUGACCUAUUGGGAAGUUCUCGUGUGAGUUCCCAGAAACAAAAUCGUGAGGGCGUGGUCGGGGCCCAAAGCAGACAACAUCAUGCUACGGCGGAGUUGAGCUCGGGAUAUGGUGGGGGUUCGGGCCAGGAUGUAACAGUUUUUUUGCUUCAAUAAUUAUGGGUUAAAAUUUUAGCAUGAGAUUAAUAAAGAAUGAAUUUAAGCUAAUUUUUUUUUUCCAGUAACUUUGUCCUAUAUUUUUAUGAACAUUUUAAUCUAAAAAUAAUUAGAAUUUGAGAAAAGUUGAAAAUUAACUAAACUGACCCUAUGAAACAUGUAUUUAUAGAGUUUUUUUUUGGUGAAUUUUGAUUUAAAUAUUCUUUUAAUUGUUUUUGACACACCUUGACCCAGAAUGUCCACUUGGACUCCCAAUCGAGCUGUGCUGGUUAACACCAGGAGGGUGAUGAAGCCAUAAAGAGUAGUGAUGUGGAAAAUGUGAGUAACUUUAAACCUAAAAGUGCCUAAAUGCAAGAGUGCACAUGUGAGUGGGAAUGAACUCAUUUCACACGUGAUGUCAAAUCAUAAGUAAAGUACAGUGAAAUUAGAAUAAGAACUAUACCAUCGAAAUUAGUAUCCGAUAUCAGCGUUUGCUAAAAAUCAUCGUCGACAUGAACACUGCUACUAAAUCCUGGAGGGACGAAAAACAAGGGUAAGUGGGUCUAAAAACAAAACUUUAUAAAACCUUUUUGAAAAUGUAAUAAACCAUCUUCGGAAAACAAUUAUAGUUUCCAAAUAUAACAUAAUGCAUAUAGUAUGAAAUUACUUAUCAUAGUUUACAGAAUGGACAAAACGCAACAUGUACACUAAGGUCUGGAUAGUUCGUUCAGACUGGCCGUUAGUCUGAGGGUGAAAUGUGGUACUGGACAGACAACUCAUAGCCUUUAAGAAGGCUUCCAAAGACUUGGAAGUAAAUCAUGCAUCACAGUGAGAUACAGUAGUGAUGUGUACACCAUGUAGCCGAACAAUGUAGUUCACAACGCUUUAGCGAGCAUAUUCAUAUUGAAUUUCUCUUGGAUUUAGCAAAAAAACUAUCUCGAUAAGGCUAAAAGAACACUCAGGAAUUUGAGGGUCAAAACAAGUCCAUCAAAUCUAGAAUACAAGGUAAUUGGAAUGAAUGCAGGACAUCUCGCUACAAUGGUAGCUUUCAGAAGAUUCAAUCACCAACAGUAAAGAUUCAUUUAGUAGAGUAUUUGUUAGGUGAUUAAGAGGUUAGCGGUCACAACUAAAAUUUUAAUGUCAGCGAUUCUUCUAGACAAUCUAUCUGCCUAAAAAACAAUACGAAGUGCAGUAAGGUAGACACGUACCUAAAAUUGACUAGGAUGUCUUCCAAUACAAGCAGGUGACUAUGGAAUCAUGGUUAAGUAGAUGUCAAUCAAAACGCCAGAAAAUCUAAAAUGUUUUUAAGAAUGAGUAAUUUUGCCAAGUGGUCUAAAACGUAGUCCCUCUGACCAACGGAAAGUGAGUUGAUAGUUGGUCAAUGAUCACCAAAACGUCAUCAUAAUCUCCACAUGUACAAGAUACCACGUACAGGGAGCUUAUGGUGAUAUUCCCCAUCUCUAUUUAAAUAUAGGAAGUGAUUAUAACCACUCGAACGAUUUCUUGAUGAUUUGUAAGUAACAUCAUAUCAAUACUUGUGAAUUCCAGCUGAAAUGGGAUAGGAUAGGCUAAAAGUGUUCAAGGGUAGAUAUAUCUUUUGUUGCGGUAAACAGUGAUUACGUUUGCACAACCGUGGUAAUACACAAUAGUGCGAUUGUAGAUGUUGGUUUGGUUUCUCUAUCACCAAUGUCAGAAAUUUAGUUCCUUUCAAAUGAAAAUGCAUUUGUGAAGUCUAAGGUUGGUAAAGAUUUUGGACAAGUUUCUCCACAGAGAAGUGUCAUCCGAUUUUCAAGUAAAGAUGAUAACUGUUGGCUCUAAGUCAUGAGUAAGAUGGUUCAUUUCAUACGGUUCUAACUAUUGGGAAACAUAACCAAUACUCUGUCAUGCUGCAUCAGCACGCAACCAAUACAUUCAGAAAAAUGUCAUCGUGGAUUUCAAAAUUGUCUAUGUCACCAAAAUGUGUAGGAAUAGGGAAGAGACAACACUUUGCUUGUCAGAAAUUUUAUUCACAUUUAACAUCUAAAACUAAACUAACUUUCCUUGGUCAACAAGUGAGGUAAAAAAUAACACUAUAGCUGAAAAAUCGCUAAUAAAUCGCCAAUAGAAAUCGAUCAAACCAAGGAUAUCUCGUAUUUCACAACACUUAGUGAGGAUUUCAACUUUCUUCCGCUACUACCUUUUGGGGAAAUGAAACGAAUAUUGUCUGCUAAGAUCACGUCUCCUAAGAAAAGUACUAAUAAAAACAAAUGUAACAUUUGAAGAAUUUGGUAUAAGUUGACUGUCGGUGUUUGGAAAAUUUGAUUUUGUUGUUGGAGUAUGUGAGAAAGUCGUCGAUAAGACUACUAUGAAUCCGUUAGGCUACAGAAGAAAACUUGGGCUCCAAAAAUUGGUCAGGUAAACCAUCAAUUCGAAGUAUAGGUUAACGGUUUUAAUCAUCACCCGACUGAGUUGCUAAAAUCUAGGUACAAUCCUAAGGUUUAGUCUUUCACCUUCGUGGUUAGGUUUGAGGCUCUCCAGAUAAAGUGUUGGGUUUGUGGUUUUUAAUGAUGCAGGAGUCCUUCAUUUCACGCCGUGGCGGUAUCUUAGAUAAAUUUUAAGAAGUGACGCCAGUUAUAAUUCCUCGAACCGUACCAUACUACCUUCUUUCUCCACCACACAGAAUAAUAGGCCACACUACUUUUUCAAUAUUCAUUUCGCCCUUAUGGCGGGAAGAAUAACUCGUACAUCAAUUUUUAAUAUUUGCUUAUAGAAGUGACCAUAGGGAUGACUAGUAGUCAAAAAAUGACAAUUUUCGGUCAAUGCUUUACCAAAGGGAUAAUUACGAUGUCGUCAAUUCAUAUAUUGGAUGACGUGGAAAUCCACGAUAUCCAAUGAAAUGGAUUAACGGGCAUCAUUAGAUUGGUAAAAAGAAAAGUGCAUCCACCGUAUCUGCACGGGACAAGACAAACUUUGCCUCGUGGCAUUAGGAUUCCCAAAACUUACCCGGCUAGGGUACCAGGUGAUUGAAAUAUUUGAAUAGUUAAAGCUGAUAUGAUGAAUUGAAUGGUACCCAAAUCAAACAAAAUUCCUAACGAUAGGGUCAACACAACUAUAAGUUUACUGUCAUCCAAAAAGGCUUGCUCCUAAAUUUUCACGAUUUAAUUUCUUCGGCUCAGGUAGUCAUUGUUAAUUAGUCCAACAAUCGCACAACUAAUUAACGCAUUUAUGAUAUUUUAGUAUUUUUUGUUACCUUUAAAUUGUGAACCGGUGUUUUGGCACAAAGGUAUCACUCCCAGAUACUAGCAUGUGCCCGGUAUCAGAAACCAUACUGCCUGAAUAUUCGUUGACAACUCUUAGAUAUCAGACAAUAUCAUCAAUUAGUAGCAUCACCGUAGGUUAAUUACAAGUUUGAGUGGAUAGUUUCAGUUGAAUGUAGAGGAAAUUGAUUACUGCUAAUCAAAGGUAUAAUGAUUCGUACUGCCAUGCCUAUACCCAUCGCAAUGACGACUAUAUCAUCAAAAGAAAUUAUGGAAAUUAGUUUUGGUUGAAGUGUUCUAAGGUUAGAGAAAUGAAUUUGCUAAUAACCUACUUUAGAAUAGACUUGAAUGAAAAUCGAUCUUCCUCCUGAAGAUUCGGAAUUAUCACUAUGUUCGAAAAAUUUGUAUUAUCGGGGACCAAAAGUGGUUGUCCCUUAGAUGUUCUUCUGUCGAGUGCUACCAUUUUAGCACCAGAUUGUUGCUUAGGACAUUUCUGGAAAUCUCGACAAAAGUAAAACUUCGUAGGAAUUGUGAUAGAUGGUACGUAUACUAACAGGUGCUGCCAAGGAAUCAAAACUAUUUAUGGGUUCCUAACUCGAAAAGGUUGGUAAUGACGACGAGAUAAUAGUAGUGGGAUUAUUAGGUAAAUCUCCGGUGGUGUGUAACUACCGAUGCCAACAAUUUAUCUAUACUCUAAAUCUUUCCUUGGCAAGGAAAUCAUCACUUAAAGUCUGAUGGCGUUUGCUAAAACAAUUUUCUAGAAUGUCAAUAAGUCACCUAAUCCACCCAAAACUUAGGAAAAGCUAACACGUUUUUGGUAUUCGACGAGGUGGCAAGAUUCGACAUUAGGGUAAAAAAUUGAGAACUUACAUCACGUGUGUGAUGAACGCAAUACUGCCCAAACUUAUGCUCUAAUACCAAACUGAUACACCCUAACCCGGAAUGUCCACCUGGACUCCCAAUCGAGUUGUGUUGUCUUACACCAGGGAGGCCAUGAAGCCAUAAAGUGUAGUGAUGUAGAAAAUGUGAGUAAAUUAAACCUAAAAGUGCCUAAAUGAAAGAGUGCGCAUGUGAGCGGGAAUGAACCCAUUUUACACGUAAUGUCAGAGUAUAAGUAAAGUACAGUAAAAUUAGAAUAAGAACCAUAACAUCAAAAGUAGUCUCCAAUAUCAGCGUUUGCCAGAAAUCCUUGUAGACACGAACACAUCCACUAAUACUGGAGGAGCAAAAAACAAGGGUGAGUGGGCCUAAAAAUAAAACUUUAUAAAAACCUUUUCGAAAAUGUAAUAACUCCUCACCAUAAAACAAGUAUAGUUUCCAAAAAUAACAUACGUAUAAUAUGAAAUUAGUUAGCAUAGUCAGCAGUAUCUCAAGAAUGCAAAACGUCACAAACCUUUGUAAAUAAACACAUGACGACCGCAAUCACAUAAUCUUGCAUAAGCAAACACAUCAUAUCAAGUGCUCAUCGACACAUGCUGACACAUUAGUUCAUGCAGAGGUAUUCUGAUAUGAACAAGACUGGGUAUAAUAAUGAUUUACGCUUUAAUACUACAAUCAGGUGAAGACUGGCACUAUACGUAUCACAUACGAGUCCUAAUUGCCUAUAGCAAUUUAGGACAGGACUGGCACCUACAAUGGAUCCAAAGUGAGCAUAAGGUGCGAUGUGAACAUACACGUGAAAGACUGGCCCCAUCCCUGGACGAGUACUAACACCAGUCCAGUACACGAUGAGCAAAUAAGGUAAAUAUAAACAUGCCAUAGUGAUUCAAUAAUUUGAUAAUUCUAAACAUGCCACAUGUGAAAGACUAUACAAAAUUGAGGCUUAACGGAGGCUGGAGACGGUUGUAAAAGGGGUCUGAAAAUGGCCCAACAGCUACGGUUCCACUUCCCAGAAAUCUAGGAAAAACUUCCCCAAAACACAUGUAUAAACUCGGACUUGUAUCCAGAAGUCCAAACUAGGGUGAAUUAGGUUGAUUUCUAAACUCACCAUCAUUGAAAGCCAAGGGUGGUGGUGGUCCUAUACGAUUCUUCCACCAUGAAAAUGGUGAUGGUAUGGUGAUUUGGAUCGUCGGCAUAAACGAGCUGGAGUGGUGGCUCGAUUUGUUUUGGGUGUCGCUGCCUCUGUGUUUACAGAGAGGGCGAUAUAGUUUUGAGAAGAGAGCUGAAAUGAGUUGAGAGAGAAGAGAAACGAUGAAGGUUCGAGAGAAAGUGAGAUGUGAUAUGGCAUGAUGGUUUUCUUCAAUGGACAUGGAGGCUUCACCGCUGGUCAUUUCUACGGUUGCAGACGAGAGGUGUUGGAGAGCUGGGAGAAAUGAAGGGGAAGAAAGAAAGUGAAACAAGUUAGAGAAAGAGGGAUCCGAGUUAAAGGAAGAAAGGGGACAUGGGAGUGAGGGAAAAGAGUAGGGUGUGGGCCCCACUAGCUCACACUCCAAUCCCAUAAAAGACAAACACCGAAAAAAAAUCUCCGUGACAUGAAAAUACCGAAGUGCCCCUUACAUUCGUAGUUUCAUAAAAUUUUCGUCGUAGCUCCGAAUUCGAUUUCGCUUGCGCCUACAUGUUCGUACUGUCGAGUACUUCGAGAAUAUAGCAAAAUAAUAGCUCGUAUGCAUCUCGACAUAACGAUAAAUGAAAGUCAACAAUCUCGCCUCUAGGGGCAUUUUGGUCAAAUCACACAUUUAAACUUAAUAAAAUCAUAAAAUUAGGGACGGAUUGUUACAGUUUUAUCCAUAAAGUUUUAGGCUAUCAAAUCAUAUUCGAACUUAGCCAUUGAAUUUAAUACAUUUGAAAAUAUAAAAUUGCCCAAGUUUUAGGUUUUAACCCAAAAUUUAUUUUGGACCCAACUAUUGAAGAAGAAUAAUGUUAGUUUAAAAUCUAAAUUUUGAUGGGCCAACUUUUUAACCCUGGCCUAAAUUCUAGGUUAACAAUUGGCCCAAAUUUUAGAUUUUAACCUAAAACUAUUUUGGACCCAGCCAUUUGAGAAUUAUUGGAUUUAUUUAAAACCUAAAUUUUAUGUUUUAACCCAAAGUGUUCGAGAUAGUCUUAGAGAUGCUCUUAACCCACUAGAAAAGAAAAGAAAACCUUCACAUUUGAAAUCAAAGUAAUUAUAAAAGUCAAUAAAAAGUCCUCUCGAAAGUGUAAUGUUUCAAAAAAAUUUAGACAAUUAUUUAUCAUCAAGGGCACCUCUUCUUAUUAUUAAGGAUAUUUUUUUAUUCUUAAGAAAAAUAUUUUUAAUUCAUGGAAGUGAGAUCCUUUUUUAUUUUUAUUUUUAGAAAGCCAGAACUCUACUUCGAGUCACAACUACAAAACAAAGUGUCAUUAGCGAGGGUCAAAUACUGUUGGAAAAGGCAUUUUGCCAUCGCAACUACUUAUUUCCAAUGGGAAAAAGCCCUCGUUGAGCGUCGGAAAUUGUCCCAUUGGAAAUACUUUUGUUUCGACCAGCCGUUGGAAUUAAUGCAUUUUCAACACACAUGAUUCGUUGUUAAUAAUUAUAUUUAUGUUGGAAAUGAAUGUUCAAAAUGGCAAACUUAUUUUAUUUUCGACAUGGAAUUUUGGUCGCAAAUACUUAUAGAGUUGUUGGAAUUACUUUUCAAGUGACGACAAAUGUUUUUUGCAAUCACGUUUUUCCGACCAAACAAUUGUGUCAGAAAAUUGUUUUCCAACAAAAUCAUCUUUUUUUAUGAGAGUGCACAAUCAUCGCAAUUACAAUUACCGACCAUACAAGGUUGUCGAAAAUACAUAACGGCUUGACAGAAAUAGGCACAAAAACAUAUUUGCUAUGAUCAAGCAUCGUCGAAAAUAUGUACUUCCAACGGUGAAGUUUUGUCGGUAAUACAUAUUUGCAAUGGCAAGCUUCGUCAGGAAUAUAUAUAUUUUCGACAAUGAAGACUCGUCGAAUAUAUAUAUUUGCAAUGGUAAAGUUUUGUCGGUAAUAUAUAUUUUUGACGGUGAAGCUUCAUUGGAAAUAAAUAUUAUUGACCAUAUUUAGUCGUCGCAAAUUUUUUCAUAACCAAUAUUUGGUUGAAAAUGGGUUUUUCCUAUAUGAGCGUCUUUGUUAGAAAUGUGCACAUUAACGAGAGGAAUUUACAAUCAAAAAAGCUAUUAUUCUAUUUAUAAUUAAAUUAUAUAUUGAAAUUAAAAUAUGAUAAAAAUAGGUAUGUAAUCGUUACUAAUAAAUUAACCAAACCAUUGUAUUAAAUUUCUCAAUAUCCAAGCAAGAUUAUUCCUAAAAUUAUUUAAAAAAGAAAAUGGACAAUAGUUAAAUUGGAAAAAAUAAAAAGAACAAUAUCCCACAAAUAAAACCUAACAAGUUCAGAUAUUUGAUAAUAUCAAAAUGAAAGUAUGAUGCACUACUAAUCUUCAUGUUGAGCAUCUGACCAACUUUCAACAUUCUCCUAUCAAACAAACAAUAAAGAGAGUAAGUAAAGAAAUAAUAUAUUAUUCAACAGUAAGACAAAAACAAUAAAAAAUGAAAUAAAACAAUUUACCAUAGAAGCAGAUGGUCCUGAGCGCGCAUAAUUAUUUGAGUUGUUUGGCAUCAAUCUUUCAACUAAUUCUUGCAAAGAAUUCAACUUAUCUGUUAAAGUGUGGACUUGGUCCUUCAAUUGCUCAUGGCUUUCUUCACGUUCUAAGCACAUACGUUUAUUACAACUUUGGCUAUUUGAGAGAUAUGCAUCUUUAGUACUAAAGCCAACACCUACACCAAGAGGACGACCAUGACUUAGGCCACCAAUCACCUCCUUGUAUAUAACCCAAUCAUUUACUUCAUUUUGUUCUUCCAUAGCAGUAUUCUUUUUGUUGUCCAUUUUUUCCUUCAAUAAAAUUGUAAUAUGUAAGCAUAGGUAAUACACACAAUAUCAUGUAAAAAAAAGAUUGAAAUUAUGGUAACAUACAUAAAGUUCUUUAGCCUUUUCACUUACCCAAGUUUCUUCACCUUCACUCUUACGCUUACUCACAUGGAAUUUUUUGAAACAAUCAAUCGGGCUAGGUUCAAUUCCACUACGAUCAAGCUAUUAAGAUUAAAAAAAAAAAGUUCGUUAAAUAAAUUUUAAAUAUGCAAGAAUGACGGUAUGGAAACAAAGCAUAAACAUAGUAUUUUUACCUCAUCUUUUCUAUACUUUGCCAUUGGAACUGAACCUGUGGUGUGCACAAUUGUGGACUGCUCCCUAUUGCAUGCAUUUUGCACACUUUGUUUCUGCAUGAAAAAGAAAGCAAAAUUAAAACCCAAUCAUCUCACAGUAAGCAUAUACAUGUACGAAAAAUAAUAUAUUAACCAUCAUAAGAAGAUAUUUCUUAUAUUAAACUUUUACCUUCUAUUCAGGUUUCUCUCACUUUUCAACCAUUUUACACCAAACAUCUUUAGAUACAUUUGAUGGGCAGUUAAUGUAUCUCUCCCCAGUAGUCUUGUACUUGUGAAAAACCGAAUUCCUUAAUGUGCUCAUCCAAUCGGCUUAUCUUGUUUUAAUAUGUAGUUGAAAAGCAGCCCUCAUCUCUUCUUCAGAACACGUGUAUGUGUAUCUAGUUCCCUUAAAACGAUCAUACAAUUCAUCCAUUGUUCUUUUGGAUAAUCUUUGAAUGUAAUCCAAGGCCCUUUAAUAACUUGAUUAAAGAGCACCCCUAUAGUUCUUGUAGCAUUUGUGGUUACAAUCCUAUGAAAUUAAAAUUAGAUUAAAACACUCACAUAUCUAAAUAGUUAACUAUUUGACAUUCAUGCUUUUAGUGACUUGUGCUCAUUACCUGCUAUCAUGUAUUACAAUCGGAGUGCCAUUCCCAUCUUUACCCUUAGCCUUCCCUCUACCUUUCUUUUUGGUAGGACCUAAUCAAUAAAAAUAAUAAUGAGCAUGUAUGUUUAAUAAAUAACCAAUUACAAAAAUGCACAUUUUCAAACCGAUAUAAAUAAGGUACCUUGGACACUUGAAGGUUGAUUCUCAAUAGAUGUUUGUUGUGUCUCAUGUAUUUUGCUACCAUGUGAUGGUUGGGUAACACCAAGUUGGUCUGAAGAGGGUGUAGGUGAAUGAGUAGUAGUGUGCGGUGCUCUAUUUUGACUCAUUCCUCUUGUUGCCGUGGCUACAAUUUUACAAAGAAAACACAAAGCUAAAUAAGACAUAAUUAUGAGAGAAUUAGUUUCUUUUAGCAUAGGACAAAGUUUAUAAAACAAACAACAACCUUUGAAUCAUGAAAUUAAGCAAACGAAAUAUCACUCUCUUCUAUCUUCAAGUAUACUUUGAAGUUAAACUAUACAUUCCAAUUUAAUAAUUGGUUUUAUAUCUAACCGUUCAACACUAGUUUGAUAUAAUUUUUUUUAAGGAUAUAUUAUUAAAAAUCGAACCAAAUUAAACUGAAUUUGUGCAUAUAUUGUUUUUUUUUUUCAUCAUGAUUUUAAUAAGUGUAGAGGUCGCACUUGGUGCAAUGGCAAGUGCCUUCGCCCAUGAGCGGUAGGUCUCGGGUUCGAGACUUGGGAGCAGCCUCUCCAUAAAAUGGGGGUAAGGCUAGCCGACAUUCACCUCUCCCAGACCCUGCGUAAAACGGGAUCCUUGUGCACUGGGUACGACCUUUUAUGAUUUUAAUAAGUGUGAGGCAAACGGGGUUAGUUAAUUUAAACUGCAAAAAAAUUAGUUUUUAAUCAAGUGCAUGGCAAACAUGGUUGGAUUGUUUUUAGCCUAACAUCAAGAUUUAAGAGUUGGCCUACUUGAAAUUGACCUAUUUAUUUUGUUAACCAAAGAAUAAAGUUUUCAACUGAGCAUAUGAUUUACUUGUUUUUAAUUUCUAUCAAGCUUAUUUGAACUCGGGGAUGGGAGAAAAAAAUUGGAGACGAAUCAUCUAGUCCUCUUAGUUGAUCUUCCUUUGUCUUCAGGUAUUUGAUUAUAAAUUUUAUGAUCAAACCCAUACAUUUUUUAUUUUAAUUUCAUGAUGCGUGUUAUCAAACACAAAAAUUGUUAGAAAUUAGAAUGAUUCAAACUAAUCCAUCAUAUAUAUCAUGGAAAAACUACAAGUUUGAUCGUCUAGUCAUAGACCUAAAAACUACCAAAUAAAAAAAACUACAAGUUUGAUCGUCUAGUCAUAGACCUAAAAAGCUACAAGUUUGAUCGUCUAGUCAUGGAAAAGCUACAAGUCUGAUGGCCAAGAACCCAGACUUGAUUAGGCAAAGACAAAAUCCCAUUGUAGCCUUUCUUUUUGUACAUAUAAAUUAAAAAUCCACAUAUAAAAUUACCUUGUAUAUUUGCAUGUUGGGUCUCUUGCAUUUCAUUGUCAUGUAGUUCAGUGGUGGUAUCAUGUUGGUUUAAAGAGAGUCUAGAUGACAGACGACGUGUGCUUGAUGAAUUUUUUUGGCUCCUUCCCUUUUUUGCCAUAUCUAUCAAUCAUACAAAUACAAGAAAAUUAGAUGCCAAUAGUACCGAAAGAUAGAAAAAUGAAAAAACGAAACCAUGAAAGCUAAAAUAAAAUCGACUAGAAUUAGGGUUUCAAUGGCAGAAGGCAAAAUAUAUACAUAAACCCUAAUUGUUAGAAAAUCCCAGCAGCCAUGAAAAAUGAAUAAAAUUGAAAUUUAAUAUAUACAUAAACCCUAAACUUAAAAUUGGCACAAGGAGAACUCAUUGUCACAAAACCUAAACUGGACGAACUAGACAAACAAGAUGACUUUAGGGUUACCUGUAUGCUCACGGUUGUGCACUUCAAAUAUUGAUUAUGGAGAGUUUUUGUUCCCUCCUUUGAAGGUUGGAGGCAUUAAUAUAAAUAAUGGCAUAGAUGCAACCCUAAUCUAAUCAAGAGUGUAGUUUCCCUCCUUUUUUUUUUGGCUGUGGGCGGAACAAAUUUUAUGAAACAUUUUGGAAAUUGGGGGAGAAAAGGGAGGGACAUGCCAAAACCCUAAUUAAUUUGGAAAAAAAGCCAAACUGCUUAAAUUGCAUAAAAACAAGAGUUUGGGAAUUGUGGGAAAAAGAAGAGGGAAGCCAAAUUUAUUUUUGAGAAACGGCAAAACACUAAAUUCUACAAACAUUUUUUUUAAAUAUAAAAUAAUAUUGUUCCAUACCAUUCAUUUAAGGAAAAAAGCCAAAACCCUGAACAUUAUCAAAAAUUAAUAUUUGCAGUAUGGAAAAUUAAUUUGAAUGAUCUAACAGUCAAAUUUGUUCUAUAUGCUUCAAGAUCGCAUACAUAAAAAAUUGCAAAAAACGGACAUUCAGAUAUUAGGUAACGAGACGAGACAUUUUGACGGUUAUAAACGCAAACUCACGAUUUAAUUGUGAUCUUAACUCCGAUUUUGAUGAUUUUUUACAAAUACACUCCUCAACCCUAUAAGACUAUGAUGAAUGAAUUUGAUCAUCAAUUUAAAAUAUUUGCACUAAUGGAUACCACAAAUUAUUAUGUUCAACUUAAUGAAAGUAUAAAAUAAACUCCAAGUGUUUUUUGAAUCUGUCGUUUUGAAGGAAUACACAUUCUACAAAACUAGUUUCAACGAUCCAACCGUCAAACUUAUUGGUAUAUGCUUCAAGAUCGCAUCCAUAAAAAAUUGCAAAAAACAGACAUUCAGAUAUUAGGUAACGAGACGAAACCUUUUGACGGUUAUAAACGCAAACUCACGAUUUAACGGUGAUCUUAACUCCGAUUUUGAUGAUUUUUUACAAAUACACUCAUCAACCCUAUAAGACUAUGAUGAAUGAAUUUGAUCUUCAAUUUAAAAUAUUUGCAGUACUGGAUACCACCAAUUAUUAUGUUCAACUUAAUGAAAGUAUAAAAUAAACUCCAAGUAUUUGUUGAAUCUGUUGUUUUGAAGGAAUACACAUUCUGCAAAACUAGUUUCAACGAUCCAACCGUCAAACUUAUUGGUAUAUGCUUCAAGAUCGUAUUCGUAAAAAAUUGCAAAAAACAGACAUUCAGAUAUUAGGUAAUGAGAUGAGACCUUUUGACGGUUAUAAACGCAAACUCACGAUUUAACGGUGAUCUUAACUCCGAUUUUGAUGAUUUUUUACAAAUACACUCCUCAACCCUAUAAGACUAUGAUGAAUGAAUUUGAUCUUCAAUUUAAAAUAUUUGCACUACUGGAUACCACAAAUUAUUAUGUUACACUGAAUGAAAAUAUAAAAUAACCUCCAAGUGUUGUUGAAUCUAUCGUUUUGAAGGAAUACACAUUCUACAAAACUAGUUUCAACGAUCCAACCGUCUUGGUAUAUGCUUCAAGAUCGCAUACAUAAAAAAUUGCAAAAAACAAACAUGCAAAUAUUAGGUAACGGGACGAAACCUUUCAAUGGUUAUAAACGAAAACUCACGAUUUAACGGUUAUUUUAACCCCAGCUGAUUUUUACAACUACACUCCUAAGCCCUAUAAGAGUGUGACGAACGAAUUCGAUCUUCAAUUUAAUAUUUGCACUAAUGGAUAAUACUAUUUUAAUAUGAUUUUGUGUUUUUUUUUUGUCGAAAAUACGGUUUUAUUGUUGCGUCUAUGUAAUAUUUUAAUACCCAAAUUAAUGUAUACAAUCCCUCCACUUUAGUACUGCUUAAUUAUACCCAAAAUAAACCUACGUAUAAUUUUAGUUGGGAUAAACAACUCUUGGAUUUGUGAACUCCAAUUCCUCCGUUUUAUGGUUUGGGCAUUCUUGACUUUCUCCCUCCAUUCCGUCGGACGUCUGAAAUCGCACGGGUUGGAACGCUGCUAUUCUCUUCCUCCGCUGAGAAGUUUGUGAAAUCACACGAGUUGGAACGCUGCUAUUGGUUUGGGUAUGCUCUCUGUGACUCCACUUUUGCUUGAUUCUAUUUUCCUUUCUUAUUUGGAUCAAUGGAAUUUUGGGUUUUCUUUUUUAUGUUUAAUUUUCUAUAAUUUUAUUUGGCUCUGUUUGCGGUUGAGGGUAGUUGGAAGAAAAGCAUGUAUUCUGUAAUCCAUUGCAAACCCAGAUGGACCGAGGAUGCAGAGGAGAUUCGGUUCCCUUUUUUUUUUUUGCUUCUAAAAGCAUAUUUACUUUUGGUUGUAUUGGACUCUCUGAGAUUCUUAGGAGAAGAAUGUUUGCUUCUAAAAGCAUAUUUACUUUUGGUUGUAUUGGACUCUCUGAGAUUCGGUUCCCUUUUUUUUUCUUCUAAAUUCAAUCUUUUAGACAAGCUUUUAAGUUUGGAGUGCGCAGGCUAGGCAGCUCAAUGUUUUGCUUUUUGAAUUGUUUCGUCCUAUGUAGUCCAUUUAUAAAGUGUAAAAUCUCCAAGCACAGUUUUUGUUUUUUUAAACAAUUAUUCUCUGCGGUGUUUCGUGUGUGAGGACACAUGCUUAUUCUCAGUGGUAUUCUAAUUUGUUUAGUUGGCUAUAGAAUAAGUUUUUUUUAAUCAAUUAUCCUGAAAUAAACUCUCCAACAAGUGAUGUAUGAAAUGAAUUGGUGUAUUAUUUUAUAUGGAAUGACAUGAAGACUGAAUUGGAGUUAUGUAAUUUGUGAUUUUUGUUGUUCGUCUUGCUGAGAUUUUUGUUAAUUUUGUACCACUCUGUGUUGCAGUGGUAUCACCAUUGCCACCCAACAGACCCAAUUGGCUGUAGUUCAAUUAUUGUUCUUGGAGGGAGGUAAAGCUAUUAUCUUUUUGUUCAAAGUGUUGGUUUUUUUUAUUUGGCUGAUAUAUUUUGUGUUUUUUUCUUUGUUGGUUUAGCCUAUAUCGAAUUCUGCUAUGUCUUAGUGUUCACGUAUGCCCUAUAAGUGGUGAUUUUUUCAGUGUGACUGUCUAUAACAUUACAUGGUGUUCACAUGCCAUCGUUUUGUUAUUGGUAUUUUGUAUUUGUUGUUGCGUUUCAUUCCGCUUUGAUAGUGUUUAAUAGAUAACACUAAAAUUCUGCCAAUUAUGUUGGUUCACCGUAAGUUCUAUGCUUUACAAUAAACUGAACACUUGCAGUAAAAAUGUUGAUUAUCUUACAUAAUUGCACAGUGGAUUUAUGGGUAUGCAUCAUGUGUGUUCAAUACAGAGAGUUUGUUUCUUUUUUGUUUUUCUUUGAGGCACAAAAAAGGCAAUCUGUUUUGCCUUUUUUUUUCUUUUUUCUUUUCUCUUUCACUUUUUAUUGGUUCAAAUAAUAAAGUUACGAUUGAAAAUACCUUAUUUUGAUUAUUCUUCAUCAAACUUAACCAUGUCAACCCCUCAUAUUGCUUACGUUAGUAGAAGAAGUUUUGCCCUCUUUUCUCAUUUUUAAACACGUAAAAAGAAAAUGUCUUUGUGUUUUUUCUUUUUUUCAUUAGCUUUGCACUGAAUGGUGUUUUUUCUUUUUUUUCCUUUGUUUUGCACUGAAAGGAAAAGAGUGGCUCAGUGAUUUGGUUAGCGUUUGAACGCUUAUAGGGAUCAAAUAUAGAGUCAAGGGAUUUCAAUGCAGUGUUUUGGUUUGCUAUUAUUUUCUAUUAUGUAAUUAAAAUAUCAUGUCCUGCUGAAAAAAUGAUACUGACGUUAAUACUGAGAAACGCAAUACGUUUAUAGCAUUCGAUAAAGACUGUUCGGUUCUUGCGCGUGUGUGUCCCCCCAAUUAGACACUAUGUGUGAACUUUGUUCCAUGCAGGGAAAAAUGCCAAUCGAUAAAUGUUGGAUGCAAUCUGGGAGGUCAUCCGAAGAUUAUUUUAACGGAGUUGAAACUUUUCUUGAUUAUGCAUACAACCAUCUUCAGCUGGACGAUGCUAAAAUUUUAUGUCCUUGCGUCAAGUGUAGUAAUAGAUACAAAAAAGUUAAGGUUGAAGUACAACAACAUCUUCUUUAUAAUGGAAUUAUCAAAAAUUAUACUAGAUGGUAUUUGCAUGGGGAGGAUGAGAAUGACGAGACUGAUGAAAGCAACAGUGACAGUGAUAGUGAUGGUAAUGAGAAUGAUGUGAUCAAUAUGGAACAAGAUGAUGAUAUGCAUGGUUUAGUAGAAGAAGGCUGUCCACAGGACCCAAAUAAAGAUGCAGAAAAGUUUUACAAAUUGUUAAAAGAGGCAGAGCAGCCAUUGUACGAUGGUUGUAAGUCGUAUUCCAACUUGUCCUUUGUUGUCAACUUGUUGCAUAUCAAGAGUACUGGUACUAUGAGCAACAAAGCUUUUGGUGCAUUGCUAAAAUUGUUGAAGGAUGCCUUUUCUUUCUGUGAAAAGUUACCUACAAGCAACGAUGGUGCAAAGAAAAUUGUUGCAGAAUUAGGUCUUCAUUAUGAAAAGAUUGAUGCAUGCAAGAAUGAUUGCAUUAUUUAUUAUAAGGAGCAUGCAAAUGCAACGCAAUGUCCUACAUGUAAGCUUUCGAGGUGGAGAACACAAGAAAAGGGUAACAAAAAGAAAGGUAAAAAGGUUCCCUGGAAGAUUCUGAGAUAUUUUCCACUCACGUCAAGGCUUCAGAGAUUGUAUAUGUCAUCAAAGACAGCUGCAGAUAUGAGAUGGCAUUCUAAAGAUCGUGUGAAAGAUGGUGUAUUGAGACAUCCAGCAGAUUCUGAGCAGUGGAAAUCUUUCGAUCAAAUUCAUGAGUCAUUAGGUAUUGAACCUCGAAAUGUACGGCUUGGUUUGGCAACAGAUGGAUUUAACUCUUUUGGGAAGAUGAAUCUUCGCCAUAGUACUUGGCUAGUUCUCCUAUUCCCGUACAAUCUUCCUCCGUGGAUGUGUAUGAAAGAGCCUUAUACUUUCAUGUCCUUACUUAUGCCUGGACCAACAAGUCCAGGUAAUGACAUAGAUGUAUAUUUGAGGCCAUUGAUUGAUGAGUUGCAAACACUAUGGGAAAAUGGUGUGGAAACGUAUGAUAUAUCUACAAGGCAAAAUUUUCAAAUGAAAGCUGCACUUAUGUGGACUAUCAAUGAUUAUCCGGCAUAUGCUUACAUGUUAGGUUGGAGCACUCAAGGAAGAUUGGCAUGCCCAUAUUGUGCCUCUAAGACUUCACAUCGCAGGUUAUCUAUGGGUCAAAAAUGUGUUAUAUGGGUCAUAGACGAUUUUUACCGUCUAACCACUCAUGGCGCAAGCAAAAAAGUAAGUUCAACAAUACAAGAGAGAAAACGGUUGCACCCAGUAGACCAUUUGGUGAUGAUGUUAUACAAGAACUGGAUGAAUUAAGAAAAAUAACUCAUGGCAAGCAGAACAAGCAGACGAUACCGGGGUUUGGAAGGAGGCAUAAUUGGAAAAAACAUUCUAUAUUUUUUCAAUUACCUUAUUGGAAAACACUUUUGGUGCGUCAUAACUUAGAUGUUAUGCACAUCGAGAAAAAUGUAUUUGAGAGUGUGAUUGGCACAAUGAUGAGCAUUGAUGGUAAGACAAAGGAUUCUUUAAAUGCUCGCCUUGAUCUUCGCGAAAUGGGUAUAAGGGAAAGAUAUCAUCCAAAAGUAAGAGAAGAUGGUAAGCUUGAUUUCCUCCCAGGUGACUAUACAUUGUCAGACGAUGAUAAUAGAGUUUUAAGUAAAUGGUUAUCUGAAUUACAAGUUCCAGAUGGAUAUUCUGGAAAUUUAUCUCGAUGUGUGGCUACUGGAGAACGUAGUAUUUCUGGUAUGAAGACCCAUGAUUGUCACAUUUUCUUGGAAAGAUUACUUCCCUUUAUAGCUCGAGAGUUAUUGCCUAAAGACGUUUGUGAGCCCCUUAUUGAGCUUUCUUAUUUUUUCAAGGAAUUGUGUGCUAAAGUGUUGAGAGAAGAAGAUUUGAAUGUUCUUGAAAAUCAAAUUGCUAUUACAUUAUGCAAGAUGGAACAAAUAUUCCCUCAUGCCUUCUUUGACAUCAUGAUUCAUCUAACUUGCCAUUUAGCAUGGGAGGCAAAAAUGGCGGGUCCAGUGCAACAUAGGUGGAUGUAUCCUGUAGAAAGGUAAUGUCAAUUUUCAAAUAUUAUUAUUACAUAACAUUUUAUUUGAUAUUAAGUUAUAUUCUCUAAUUUCAAUUUUUUACUAUUUGGUUAGGUAUUUACAUAAACUAAAAAGUUAUGUUCGUAAUAAGGCUCGUCCAGAAGGAUCUAUUGCGGAAGGCUACUUGGGAGAUGAAUGCAUAACAUUUUGCUCUCGUUAUUUGCAUCGAGUUGAAACUAAGUUUAAUCAAAGGGAUAGAAAUGACGAUGGAGGUCAAUCGUUAUCUAAUACAUCUCGAUUACCUAUUUUUUCAACACCAGGUAAAUCUUUUGGGAAAGGUGUACUUGAAGAGAUAGGUAUCGAACUCCUUGAGGCUGCCAAGUUUUAUGUCCUACAAAAUUGUGAUGAAUGUUUACCUUUUGUUCAGUAAGAAAUCUCUCAUUACCAUACGAACUUUCAACAUUCGAUCUUUUACUACUUAUUUUUAGUAUUACAAUAUUUUAAUAUAUUAAUUUAACUAACUCCUUGUUAUAUGCGCAGAGAACAUAAGAAUAUUCUAAUGCAUUCUGGUGUUAGGAAUGUGGAGGAGUCACAUAGGCUUCAAUUUUCAAAUUGGUUUCAUGAGAGGGUAUGUAUACUAUAUUAUGUGAAAACUGUUGAUUAUUAGAUAUAUUGUUUCUACAAUAUUUUUCUUUCUAUAUAUGCAGAUCAAACAACUAUACUAUGAUAACAAAGUUGAUAAGCAAAUGCUUUCGUUGGCUCUCGGUCCGGAAAGGCGAGUAAAAUAUUAUCCUGGUUACUAUAUGAGUGGGUUUAGAUUUCAUACAUUGCAACGUGAUGAGAAUAAAAAAACACAAAAUUGUGGAGUUAUGGUUAAGGGGGAGAAUCAGAUUGAUAGUGUGCCUUGGUAUGGAGUAUUAAAAGACGUGGUUGAGCUUCGUUACACAGAAGGCAAUAAAGUUGUAUUGUUCAAUUGUGAGUGGUAUGACAUUGUGCGAAAAGGAACAGGUUAUAAGAUAGAUCGUUACGGAAUAAUUAGUAUUAAUACAACUCGCAAGUUGAAUACUAAAGAGCCAUUUGUGUUGGCAAACCAAGCAACCCAAGCUUUUUAUGUGAGAGAGAUUAAAACUAAGGCUUGGAGUUACGUGGUGGAAACGAAGCCUAGAAAUGUUUAUGAGAUGCCUAAUGUGGAUGAUGAUGAUGAGCCAUACCAAGAAGAAGAGGCAUAGGGGUAUUCAAGCCAACCAAAAUGAUGACGAAGAUGAUGAAAUUGUGGGAUAAACUCUCAUUGUGAUUGUGUUUUUUUUUUUUUUUUAUCUAAAAAUUUAGUUGCGGAAGUGAUGUGGUUAUACUUUGUUCAAUGUCAAUGACAAAUGUUAUGAUUUAACAAAGGCAUGCAAAUUAUUUCUUUAUCAUAGAAUACUAAAUUAAGUUAUACACUUUUUUACUCAAUGGUUUUAUUUUUAAUUUAAUGGUCCAAUUUUCUCCAUAUGUAUUCUAAGUUAUAUGAUCUAUUUAUUGUAGAAUUUAAAUUAAGCAUCAAACUUAUUUCAAGAAUAUUCAAAUGACACAUGUGACCUUAAGUAAAUAAUUGAUUCCAACAAAACCAUAUGCCUUAAAAUUUAUUCUGACAAAGAAAAAAUCUUGUCGGAAAAAUAUGAUUACUUUCGACAACAACUAAUCACCCUCGAAAAUAUAAAAGCAUUACCGAGAGGACUUUUUUUUCCCUCAAAAUUAUAAAAACAUUACCAAGAGGACUUUUUUUCCCUCAAAAAUACUAAAUCAAUUUCGUCAACAUGAGUAAACCUUCGGAAAUAACCCUUCUAUUUCCGAUAAGAACUUUACUUGUUGUUAAUACAACUGGCGCCAAUUCUUCCCCCCAAACAAAAGUGCAAUUCCGACGAAACUUGAGACUUGUUCCGAGGAUAUCAUGUGCGUUGGUAAUACAAAUUUGUUUCAUGCCAUGUUACCGACGACUCAUAUUUUAUGGUCGUAAAAUGUGCUUUUUACGACGGUUUUUUUGGGCCCUCGAAAAAUCUUCGUCGGUAAUGACUACUUUUUUUGUAGUAGGCUUCACAAAAGAAUAAUGGGACAAAAAGUCCCUAAAACAAUAAAAUUCAAAACUGGCCAAAAAUAAUACAAACAAAUUCAGAGAGAUAAUUUUGUCAUAAAAUGAAAAAUUUGAAAAAAAAAAUAGGAUUAAGUAGACCUGGCAAUUUUUACACAACACGUUAUCGAGUCACACAAUAAGAACCCGUUAAUAACAGGUCUUUAACAGGUUUACAAAAGUGUGACACGGGUAACCUAUUUUGAGAUGUUAAGAAAAAAGUCAUUUUGAUAAUUUUAAUUUUUUUAACUACUAAAAAAACUUACCAUAAAAUACAAUAGUCAUAGUGUAUAUGUAUAUAUUGUAUAUUACUAUAUCAUUGUAUUAUUAUUUUAUAUAAAUUUCAAAAUUUAGGUUUUGUUAAUUUAUUUAUUUUUAUAUUAUACUAUGGACAAAGAGUGAGAUUAAAAAAAGGGAGUUUUAACGAAAAGGGCCUGGAACUAUUCAUUCUUAAUCAUAAGGACAAUUUGUGUAUGAAAGGUCCAUAAUGGAUCAAGUACUUUUCUUUAUUUACUCUUAUGCCAUUACAGCGGGGUCCACAAAGAUGUUGACAUUUCUGUCUGGGAAUACAUUAUUUUACAUUAUGCUAUUAAACUUAUGCUAAUUUUACAGCUAGCUCUUCAGGCUUCCAUCAUGUUGUCGAUGUUAUGUAGCUCUUCUUCUGACAAAUUAUUCAAAUAUUGUUCAUCGCCUUCUACUAGCUCCGCAUCUCUUUCUUUAUCUUCUUUCACCUUGUAAUAUAUUUCUGCUGUUUCUUCUUUGAAAUUUUGGGGCUUCCAAUAAGGCUGAUGAUUGAUUCUUGUCUUGCUGUAAAUAUACAUCUCUUCUUCUUCUGCUACUAGUACCAUGUCAUACCUAAAAUCUUCAAACUCAUCUAAAGCAAACAUUUGGAUCCCUCUAAAUUUUAUAAUAUCUUUGUAUGAAGGAGUCCACCUAUGUGAGGAGAUAGAGUUUAGUCUAAAGGACUCUUCAUUGAUCAUGGCUAUAUGUGUAGCUUUCUCCUUAUGCAUAUGUACAUACCAAUCUGGAGGACUACUAAUAAAACUUAUGCAAAUUUCCUUCCAUCUUUCUAGAUAAUCUUCUGCUACUUUUAUAAGUUUUUCAGGAAAUGAUUCUAGCUGAGAAAUAUGGUUAAUAAAUAUUUUAUCGAGAUAACCAAACUCUAAUAGUAAGGCAGGGGUAACUUCUACCACAUUAUGCUUUUCCUGAUGCUCAUAACUAAAAUGCCAUGAUUUAAAAUCUCUCAUGUUAAUCCUGGCCACAGCUACGCUAACCUCUGGUUUACAAAUACAAUUCUCUGUACUAUCACAAAGACAUGGAGGAUACAUCUUUGUAAUAAUAUCCAUCCCUGGUUUUAGAUCAAAGAUGGACUGAUACAAGGCGCAUUGUAAUUGUAAUUGUAACUCUUUCAUGGACUGUGAUGCUCUGCUCAGGAUCUCAUUUUGCAUAUCUGUUGGCAUUAUUCUUAGUUUCGCCUUUGAAAUUUCUUCAAAUAAGACAUCAUCUAAUAUUAAGUCUGAAGAUAUAUUCCUAAGAAAACUUUCAUAUUUUUCUUGUUUUUCUUUGUCACUCAGAACCUGAUGCUGAUCAUUACUUUGAUGUUGCUCCAUUUCAACGUCUUCUUCUAAGAGCUCAAUCUUAAUUUCUUCUAUGGGCUCAUUAGCCUCUUGUUCUAUGGGUUCAAUAACCUCUUUUUCCUUUAUUCUUAUGAUGAUCAGUUUCUAAACCUAUUUUUAAUUCUCUUUUCAAGGUGUCACUUGCCUUUUGCUGCAUUCUAAGAGAUUGGAGUUCUUGGUUCAUUUUGUUAAACUUACCAAGUAAUGACUCAUGGUCCCUAGAAAUGGCUUGAAGGUUGUGUUCAAGAGAAUGAAUAUGCUGCUGGUUUUGGUGGAAAUUAAAAUUAAAGCUAUCAAACUCUUGUUCGAAGGCUCUAAUUAAUUUUUCAUGACCUAAUCUCAUGCUUGGCUGCUUAAUUUGGAUAUUCCAGAAAUUAUCUAAGAGAACCUGCUGCCUAUCAGAAAGCCCUGGUACCCUUGACCUAUAUCUCAGAGUUGGAUUUCUGAUUCCUUCAACAAUAUUGCCAUUAAAGCUAAACGUUGGUACUGGUGGUGAUGCUGGUCUGCUCAUGCUAUUUUGAAAUCCACUGAAUGGUGGAGGUUGAUGGUGCAUCAUCAUGCCAUUGAAAGAAACUCUUCUGCCUUGCAGCCUUGUGCUAUUUGCUGAUGAUGGUCCACGAUAUUCCAUACCUGUUCAACAAAUUAAUCUUGAUAAGAUAUCAGCUAAUGUAUUGUCAUUACCUUUUAUAUGUUCAAAAAUUGGUUUAAAACCAUUUCCUGUAAUUGAAUCAACAAAAUUAACCCAUCUUCGGGCUGCCUGUUUAUUAGCAUGUAUCUUGUUAUAAUGAGAAACUAUAUUUUGACAAUCUGUUCUAAUCGUAAAUACUUCAUUAUGUAAAAAUAAAGAAAAUUCUUCAAGUGAAUUAAUUAUCCCUAGAAUUUCUAAAUCUAUUGAUGGUAAUCUUGACUGGAUAUCACUAAACUUUCCUGAGGAAUAUCUACAAACUUGUUCGUCAGACUUUGGAGACUCCCUAUGCUUUUUCUGGUAUAGUAUACCUGCCCAUCCUAAUGAUGAAGCAUUUGUUUCAACUAUCUUGUAACUAUUAUCUAGUGGUAAUGUUAAUGGCUUAAGUUUAGUAAUUUCUUGUUUUAUUUUUUGAACUAAUUUAAUAUCUUCACUAUUAAAAUAUCUUUGUCCUAUUUUGCUAGUUUUACUAUGUAAUCCUGCUAUUUUUGUUCCUAAAUUAGGGAUAAAAUUUCUUGCAUAAUUUAGCAAUCCUAAAAACGCUUGUAACUGUUUCUUAUCUUCUAAUUUAUCUGGAAAAUCUAACACCUUUUUAGUUAUAUGAUCUUGUAAUUGUAUUGUACCUGACUUGAUAUACAUUCCUAAAAAUUCUAUAUCUUGCUUUUCUAAUGCUAUUUUAUUUUUGCUAAUCACAAUUCCAUUAUUGAUAAAUUCUUGUAAUACUAUCUCUAAAUGCUUUCUAUGUUCAUUUUUAUUUUACUAUGUACUAAAAUAUCAUCUAUAUAAACACUACAAAAAUUAUCAUAUUUCUUGAAAAUUUGUCCAUCUUUCUUUGAAAGAUCGAUGGAGCAUUUUUAAGUCCAAAUGGCAUAACGAGCCACUCAAAAUGUCCUUCUGGACAAGUAAAAGCUGUCCACUCAAUUGAUUCUUCUGCUAAUCUUAUUUGCCAAAAACCUGAUUUACAAUCAAAUUUGCUAAAAUAUUUACUCUCUUGAAUUUUAUUUAUAAGCUCAUCCUUAUUUGGUAAUUUAUAACUAUCUUCGUAUGUAUUAUCAUUUAAUCUCUUGUAAUUAUAAAUUAUACUAGCCUUACCUCUUUUUAGUUCCGAAUGUUUUCUUACAAUAAAUGCUGCUGAUCUAUGUCUAGACUUAGAUGGUCUAAUUACUUUUAAAUUUAACAACUCUUUUAUUUGCUGCUCAAACUCUUGUUUAUCUAUUAGACUACAAGGCAUAUCAGCCGUCGUAAUGGUUAAAUCUGGGUUAAUUAUAUCUAAUUUUGCUAGUAUUUUAUUUUUACUCCAAUGUAACUGCGGGUCUUCUCCUAUAAUCCUAGUUUGUUCUGCUAAUUGUAACAAUUCUUCUAAACUUUUUGGUCUAUCUAACUGUAAUAUUUCUAUACAGGUUCCUUCUUCUAAAAUCAGGUAUUCAUGUUCAAAAAUGUCUUCAUCAAACUCUUCUACUUUAUUAUGCUCAUCAUUUUCUUUUGAGUUUUCUAAAUGAUAACUAUCUUGGCCACUAGGCUUUUCUAUACUUAUGUUUUUGUAUGCUUCUACAAUAUUACUUUAGUCAGUUAUUGUAAUGCCUCUUUUGAAAAAUGUUAUUGUAGACAUCGAAAUUUCGGUAAAAUAAAUGUUGAUCAAUAAUUAAAAUUUCAACGUUUAUGUGUCACAUAAAUUUUACACAUAGCAUGUGACUAAACGAAAAAUCAAAAUAAAUCGGAAAAGUCAUCAAACAGGACACGUGUCAACACCUGGCAGAAAUGAUUUAUUUCAUCUAAUUAUUUAAAUCCAAAAAAUCAAGUUUUGGAAGUCUAUAAAUAGGAGGUCAAGGCAUUCAUUUUGGGGACCAAUUCAUAACCAAUUCACCUCACACCACAACCUUGAAGCUUUGAAACUCCAAAGCUCCCAAGCAAAUCCCGAAGGAUCAAGAAAUCUCUCUUCGUUCUUCGUCAAAUCCUCAUUCAAAAUCAAGCCCCAACGGCCCUUGAAGAACUUCCACUAAUUCAAGAUCGAGCCCCGACGGCCCUUGAAGAAAGUGUCCAUCAUUCAUCAUUCGUUCAUCCCUAGAUCAAGCCCCGACGGCCCUUUGGAUCAACAACGUCAACAAAUCCGCACAACUGUUUAUCCCAAGAUCAAGCCCCAACGGCCCUUUAGACCAACAACAUCAAAUCCACCCAUUACAAAGAUAGAAUCAGAGGCUAAAUUUGUAAAAGAGAUUGUAACCCCUAAAUCAUCAAUACAAAUAUUAUUUUGUACACGUGUUCUUGUCUCGUUCAUCGCAGGAAUUUCCGUGUUUACAAAUUUGGCACGCCCAGUGGGACCAUCUCUACCUCUCAUCUCUAUCUUUUAAUCCGCAAAAAGCACAAAUGGCAUCAAAGAAGGCUCAAGUUGUUCUCGCAGCCAAUGCAAGGAACAAGAACGUCAUCACCGCAGACGGUGUCACUUCGGGCGUCAUAACUCGAAGCAAGGCAAGAGCUCUUUCUGCCGCCUCUUCUACCCCUACAUCAACUCUGCCAAAGGAACAAGAGCACCCGAGGCACGAACCUGUGAUCACCCUGGCCUCGCUAAGGGCGCCAAGGAAGGAAAGCCCAAUGAAGUACUCUGGUUCCACUCUUUCUGAUGUCGACUCAAGCGGCAGCUCAGCCAUGCAAGUCAUGACUACUGGAGCUACUUUAAUAGAUGAGCAGCUGGCUUAUGUGAAUGAAGCGAUCGCAAGGCUAACACGGAUUAUGGAAGAAAAAGACCAGCAAAUCGCUGUACUCGUCAACCAAUUAGAUGUAAAGCCCGAUGUGAAAAUCGAGCAAGGGGAUGAUUCAGUAAAGAAGGAAAACGACGAGGAUGAAGAGCCUUCGGUGGAGAAAAUCGAUGUGAAGCCGGAACCAGGCCAAGCAGCGGCACUCACGGGAUCUCUUUCUAUCCAACAGCUGCAAGAGAUGAUCGCCAGCACCAUCAAGGCACAGUACGAAGGAAGUUUACAUGACUCCGUACUAUACUCAAAACCCUACUCCAAGAAAAUUGACACUUUGAAGAUGCUAAGGGGUUAUCAGCCACCAAAGUUCAUGCAGUUCGAUGGAAAGGGAAACCCGAACAACAUGUCGCCCAUUUCAUUGAGACUUGCAACAACGCGGGGACAGAAGGAGAUUACCUCGCUAAGCAGUUUGUACGCUCGCUGAAAGGAAAUGCCUUUGAAUGGUACACGGACCUAGAGCUUGAAUCCAUAAACAGUUGGGAGUAAUUGGAAAAGGAAUUCCUCAAUCACUUUUACAGCACUCGCUGCACCGUGAGCAUGCUAGAGCUGACAAGCACGAAGCAAUUGAAGGAUGAGCCAGUCGUGGACUACAUCAACCAAUGGCGCAAUCUAAGCCUCGACUGCAAGAACCGGCUCUCGAAGAUCUCUGCGAUCGAGAUGUGCGUCCAAGGCAUGCAAUGGGGGUUACACUAUAUCCUUCAAGGCAUCAAACCACGGACAUUUGAAGAGUUAGCCACCCGUGCCCACGACAUGGAGCUAAGUAUUGCCCAUCACGGGAAGAAAGAGUCGAUCACUGACUUCAAGAAGGAUAAGGUGUUCUCCCCAAAUGUAGACAAGACUGGGAAGAAGCCCUCCAAGGAAGCGUUCAUCGUCAGCACUGUGCCCGUCAAGACCGCCUCCGCGCCUAUCAAGAUCUCCUCCAAAACCAACGUAAAGGAGAUAAAAAGAAGUGAGCCUCCUCGCACCCAAGAAAGGUACAAAAACACCUUGAGGGAAUUGGAGCAGAAGGCGUACCCUUUUCCUGACUCAGACAUGGAUGCAAUGUUAGACGACUUGCUGGAAAAGAAGGUAAUCGAGCUACCCGAAUGCAAGUGGUCUGAAGAAAUGAAUCGCAUAAACGAUCCUAAAUACUGCAAGUACCAUCGAAUCGUAAGCCAUCCUGUGGGUAAAUGUUUCGUCGUCAAAGAGCUCAUCAUAAAGCUAGCACAAUAAGGGCGAAUCGAGCUAGACCUCGAAGACAUGGCCGCAACACAUACUACUACAAUUGCAUUUGGAUCUUUCGAUCCCGUACCUCUCCAAGCAACACUUGACCAUUCCUAUUAAUGCUCAAGUUGCACGAUACCUUCUGCGCAACCAUUGCCGGGGGUAAACGGACAGGAUGCACAUAUCGAUGAUGAAGAAGGAUGGACAUUGGUGACCUACAAAAAAUAAUGAAACCAAAACCACAAGCCACAAGACCAAAGGUGGAACAAGUGAGAAAGCACUGUCGCCGCAACAGUAGGAAGCCCAAAAGAAAUGUAAAAGUUGAUAAGCCAACGUAUGCUGGGGAACCUAUGGAGCAAGAGCCACGCAUUCCUGUCUCCUUGCACGAGUACUUCUGGAAUGACUUCUUCCAACAGUGCACUAUCGCUGCAUGCCACAUGGUUGAAGUAGAAAUGGAAAAACCUUCAAAAGGCAAAGAUAUCACCACUGAGGGAGAAAAAACUCUCACACUCGAAGAAGGUCUGCCAACACACUUUAGCAUUUAGGAAGCACUACAAUUGCCAAAGAAGAUGCGAAGAGCAUUAGCAACGGUCUUGGAAAGUCCCAAUGACCAUGAAGUGCAAGAAAGCAAGAACGAAGACUUGAAGCCUCAGCCACAUGAAUGUGCCACAUGCUGUGCCAUCGAAGACGCAAUCCAUUUCACCGACGAAGACUUGCUGCUAGGAUCCAAGCCUCACAACCGUCCUCUCUUCGUCUCUGGGUACGUAAGGGAGCACAAAGUCAACCGCAUGCUUGUGGAUGGUGGAUCAGCCAUAAACAUCAUGCCAAAGUCAACAAUGAUUACAAUCGGCAUCAAGGUGGAUGAACUGUCCCUAAGUCGUCUACUAAUCCAAGGUUUUAAUCAAGGAGGACAAAGAGCGAUGGGCAUGAUCCGAGUGGAGAUGACUAUUGGUGAACUCAAGUCAAGCACGAUAUUCCACGUGAUUGAUGCAAGAACUUCUUACGGCUUGCUCUUAGGAAGGCCUUGGAUUCAUGCGAAUGGAGUAGUACCGUCCACCCUUCACCAAUGCUUAAAAUUCUACCGAGAAUGAGUGAAGGUGAUUUAUGACGACACCAAACCAUUCACCGAAGCCGAAUCAUAUUUCGCAGAUGCCAAGUUCUACAUGGAUGAAGACAUGGUGCCUGAAGCUCUUCCAAAAGAGAUCAAAUCCACGGGCAAAACAACACCUAAAAAGCAGGAGUGGCAAGCCAUGCCUAAGAAGCAAGAAGAAGAAGUCAUUCCGUCUUCAAGUAAGAAUGAUGAUGAGCUUGCUAAACCUGCAACAACCAAAGGGAGUAGGACGCCCUCAAAUGGAUCAAACACACCUGUUUUCCGAUACAUCCCGAUGUCAAGAAGAAAGAAUGGUCAAUCCUCGUUCGAAACUAAAGCAAGCAAAGCCGAUGCACAGCGGCACAAGGAUAAUGUAAAGUUGCUCAAGACGAAUGCAGUUUUACCUCUGACACAGCUAAGCAACGCUAAGGUUGCAAAAUUACCACAAGGCUUCGUAAAAGCUCUACCAAAGGGGGCGGAACCAAGUUUUCUCCCAACCAAGAGGAUCAAAGAAGGUUUUGAUCCAAACGCCUGCAAACUCAUGUCAAAAGCUGGGUAUGACUUCGCUUCUUCUUCGAAUCCUGGGAAAAAGGUUUCAAACACCGUCAACAAUAAAGAACGUGACCUCACUGAGACUCAAAAGAAGUUGAAAAAGCAUGGUUACGAAGUUAACAACAACAAAGCUGGACUUGGCUUCACACCAAAUGCACCCGUGAAGAUUUCAAGCAAAACGAAAAAUGCUAGCACUCAACAUAUCAGCGUAAGCAUUGAACAAGAUCGAGAGGAGCCUAAAUCCGCCCCUCGAACGCCAGUCUUCGAUAGGACGAAUCGUUUAAGACCCAGAACGUCAGCCCUUGAUCACAUUGGUGGUCAAAACCGAACCUCCGUCUUCAAGAAGCUUAACAGGCCAACAUCCCGAAGCUCUGUUUUUUAAAGGUUAUCAAAACCUAAGAAGCAAAGCAACAAGGCUAGCUCUCCUCCUCGUCAAUCAGCUUUGGAAAGACUUGAAGACAACAUGAAGUUUUCUAGAAAUAGGGAAACAACGUCAAAGGAAGAAAAGCUCAACAGGCUAGCAGAAAAAGGCGACAUUCGAAGCUCAAUUCCUUCAAGGAUGAAGCGUCAAACAAUCUUGGAGGUUGACGCAAAUGGACCAUUGAUAGUAAGAAGGCGCACCAUCACCCAUACUGGACAAUCUUCAUACCAACAAGCCCAAGAGGACGACACUAAAGAGGAAGUCCAGGAUGUCUUCCACAUCACGAUCCAAGAAGGCAAAGAAGACGAGAUCCCUGAAGAAGAUGUCACUGUUGCACCAUCACAACUUGAGGGUGGGGGCAAGCCACGGUUGACGAUCUCAAGGAGCUCAACUUGGGCACAAAAGAGGAGCAAAAACCUAUCUUUGUAAGUGCACUGCUAAGAGCAGACGAGAUAGAUGAGUACUACCAACUGCUAUCAGAGUACAAAGACGUCUUUGCUUGGACUUACAAAGAAAUGCCCGGCCUUGACCCUGUCAUCGCUGUGCAUCAUCUUGCAAUCAAGCCUGGAACGCGACCGGUAAAGCAAACUCAAAGGCGUUAUCGAUCCGAGCUCAUUCCAUAAAUCGAGGUAGAGAUUGACAAGCUAAUCGAAGCAGGAUUCAUUCGAGAGGUCCAAUACCCCAAGUGGAUCUCCAACAUCGUCACCGUCCUUAAGAAAUCUGGACAAAUACGUGUUUGCGUAGACUUCCGGAACCUUAACGACGCUUGCCCGAAGGACGACUUCCCCUUGCCAAUCAUCGAAAUCAUGGUGGACGCAACCACUGGCCACGAGGCACUGUCAUUCAUGGAUGGCUCUUCUGGAUACAAUCAAAUUCGUAUGGCUCUCGAAGACGAGGAACUAACAGCAUUCCGCACUCCAAAAGGUAUCUACUGUUACAAGGUGAUGCCCUUUGGUCUAAAGAAUGCUGGGGCUAUAUAUCAAUGCGCAAUGCAGAAAAUCUUCAAUAACAUGCUACACAAGAACGUAGAAUGUUAUGUGGACGAUAUGGUGGUCAAAACAAAGAAAAGAUCAGAUCACUUGAAGGAUUUGCGAGUAGUGUUCGAAAGGCUGUGAAAAUACAACCUCAAGAUGAACCCGUUAAAAUGUACGUUUGGCGUCACCUCCGGAAAGAUCCUCGGCUUCAUUGUCAAGCACCGUGGUAUUGAAGUGGACCAAUAAAAAAUCAAGGCCAUUCAAAGCAUGCCUGAGCCAAGAAACCUCCAAGAGCUGAAAAGUCUACAAGGACGACUAGCCUUCAUCAGACGCUUCAUCUCUAACCUUGCAGGGCGUUGUCAACUGUUCAGCCGACUCAUGAAGAAGGACGUUCCAUUUGUAUGGGACGAAGCAUGCCACAAUGCUUUUGAAAGCAUAAAAAAGUAUUUGUCAAGUCCACCUGUCUUGGGGGCACCUGUGCCCAGGAAACCACUUAUAUUGUACAUUACCGCUCAUGAAAGUUCAGUUGGAGCACUCUUGGCGCAAGAGAAUGAAUCCCAGAAAGAAGGAGCGCUCUACUACCUCAGCCGAACCCUCACCGGCGCCGAGUUAAACUACUCCCCAAUAGAAAAGAUAUGCCUUGCCUUAGUGUUCGCCAUCCAGAAACUCAGGCAUUACAUGCAUGCUUACAUCAUCCACUUGGUUGCUAAAGCUGACCCGGUCAAAUACGUCAUGUCCAAACCAGUUUUGACAGGGCGACUCGCUAAAUGGGCGCUGCUGCUUAACUAAUAUGAGAUCAUCUACGUCCCAGCUAAAGCCGUAAAGGGACAAGCGCUAGCAUACUUUCUUGCCGAUCACCCAAUCCCAGCUGAUUGGAAAAUCUCAGAUGACUUGCUUGACGAGGAAGUGUUCUACAUCGACAUCUUCCCGACAUGGACGAUGUUCUUCGACGGAUCUGCACGAGCAGACGGAGCAGGGGCAAGAGUAGUAUUCAUGUCACCACAAAGGCAGAUAUUACCUUAUUCCUUUCAACUAAGCGAAUUAUGCUCCAACAACGUUGCUGAGUACCAAGCACUGAUCAUCGGACUCCAAAUGGCGAUCAACAUGGGAAUCACAGCCCUUGAGGUAUUUGGAGACUCCAAGCUCAUAAUCAAUCAACUCUUAACUGAAUAUGAGGUGAGGAAAGAUGAUCUCAUCCCAUACUUCCGGCUGGCAACUCAACUGCUACAAGAGUUUGAGACUGUGACACUAGAACAUGUGCCAAGAAAAGAAAAUCAAAUGGCAGACGCUCUUGCCAACCUAGCCUCAAACAUGACAUUAUGAGAAGACGAAGCUGCAGACGUGCCUGUCUGCCAAAGAUGGGUGAUCCCCCUCGUCACCGAAAUGCUACUGGAUGAUACAAAUGUCAUCUCGGUACUUCUAGUCGAUGUUGAAGAGUGGAGACAAUCGCUGAUCGAUUACUUAGAGCAUGGAAAACUUUCAGACGAUCCUAGACACCGCUCCGAAAUACGUCAACGAGCACCUCGCUUCCUCUAUUACAAAGAAACACUCUACCGACGCUCUUUCGAAUGAGUACUUCUGAGAUGCCUAGGUGAGGAAAAAGUUAAUCAAGCCAUGAAAGAAGCACACUCAGGCGUAUGCGGGGCGUAUCAAUCUAGACCAAAGCUACAUUUCCAGCUCAAAAGAAUGGGUUACUACUGGCCAAGCAUGGUGAAGGAUUGCCUGGAACAUGCCAAAAGGUGCCAAGCCUGCCAAUUCCACGCCAACUUCAUACACCAACCACCUGAGCCAUUACACCCUACAGCUGCUUCAUGGCCAUUCGAUGCAUGAGGAUUGGACGUCGUAGGACCAAUUACUCCAAAGUCAUCUGCAGGAAAAGCUUACAUCCUAGCUGCAACACAUUACUUCUCUAAGUGGGCUGAAGCCAUACCCCUAACGGAAGUAAAGAAGGAAACUGUCGUCCGUUUCAUCAAGGAGCACAUCAUCCACCGAUAUGGCGUGCCUCGCUACAUCAUCACUAACAACGGAAAACAAUUCUCCAACCGAUUUGUGGAUGAGCUCUUUAAGAAAUACAAGUUCAUGCAGCACAAGUCUUCCAUGUAUCAUGCCCCGGCUAACGGUCUUGCAGAGGCAUUCAACAAAACAUUGUGCAAUCUCUUAAAGAAGGUAAUCGGCCGAACAAAGAGAGACUGGCAUGAAAGAAUAAGCGAAGCACUUUGGGCAUAUCGGACAACACAUAGGACUCCUACCCAAGCUACGCCUUAUUCUCUUGUAUAUGGCGCGGAAGCUGUUCUACCGCUCGAAAGUCAAAUCCCCUCACUGAGAAUGGCCAUACAAGCAGGCUUGACUGAUGAGGAGAAUGCAAAGUUGCGCCUUCAAGAGUUGGAAGCACUUGACGAAAUAAGGCUCGAAGCUCAACAACACUUGGAAUGCUACCAAGCACGGCUAUCCAAGGCAUUCAACAAGAAGGUCCACCCAAGGUCUUUCCAAACUGGAGAUCUCGUCCUCGCAUUGCGUAGGCCUAUCAUCACAACUCACAAGACGAAAAGCAAGUUCACAUCAAAGUGGGAUGGACCAUACGUAAUACAAGAGGUCUACACCAAUGACGCCUACUUAAUCAUGGCAGAAGACGGCUUGAAGAUUGGCCCUAUCAAUGGAAGAUUCUUGAAGUGCUACUACCCCUAAAAGGUGACAACCAAAGCUCCUGGCCCACAAGAGCAUAAACUGUGUACGGCAAAAUCAUCAUAAAAAAAAAAUGCAUUUGAACUACGUUAUGACUUGAUCUCUCCUCAACAGAGGGUACGUAGGCAACUUGAAAUGUCAAAACUUCAAGUACAGUUACACCAUCUAGAAAAAAAAAAACACUUUGAAGAAUGAAGAGCAAAUUCAAGAAUGUAAAUACUUUAUUUCUUUGAAAGAAUGAGUCGGCUCCAAAAGCCAUAUUACAAAAAAAAAAAAAAAAAAAAAAAAAACAGAAGAUACUACUUGAAAACUAUGUCCCCAAAACUACGAAGACGAUCUUCAAGCAAGCUUUCCAAAGUUUUCAAAGUCUCUGCCUCGGUGGGAGACAAGAUGGGCAACUCCAUAGUCAUGCAUUUCUCUAGUUCUAGGCGUGAAAUCUCAUCCUGGUACUGAGAAAGUGUAGUUCCCUGCUCCGCGAGAACACUUUCAAGUUGUGAUGCUUCGAUUACCAACUGCUCUUGCUCUCUCGCCAACGCAUCUAGACGCACCUGGAUAGAAGAUAAAGAAGUCUCUGUAACUUGAUAAUAUCUCGAAGCAGCUUGCUAAGAAGACUGGACUUGAGCCAGUGACGAGUUUAUUGUUGCUAGCUGAUGAGCUCUAACAUCUGGACUCAACUUCUCUAAGGAAAUAGCACGCAAGGAAGAAUACUCAGUCGAGGCAGCCAUAAGUUCGGCAAUCUUAAUCUUCAAGGCUGAAGAGUCAACGUUAAGGUUGUCAAUCACAUAAACAAGCUUCGACAAAUCCUUAUUGAGCAACGUAAGGUCUUCCAACGGGCACUUAGAAAUCCUCUUCUCUAUAUGGCUCUUGAUAUCCAUUGCCGCACUAAGACUGAUGCGAUGGAUGACUUGCUCAGUACCGUUAAGGUUCGGCCCUCUCAAAGUGAUCUCAGAGUAGCUGGCAAAGGCGUUGGACGCAUGACGGGUUCUUGCACACCUUUACUUACACAUGGCAAACUUGGGAAGUUCGGCUGAUUUGGAACAAGCUCUGCACUAGGCGGAUCCCCGAUCUCCCUGUCUGUAGGUAGUUCGCCCACAAAUAGCAUCUCCGUAUAGGAAUAAACAUCUGCAGUUGCCAAAUCAAAAGAACAAGAAGGCCCAACCUAAAGAAGACAAAGAAAUAUGUUAGAAACGAAAGCCAAAAUAAUGAAAGCAUAAGAAAUCACGAGAGAAAAUGAAGUACAUACAUCUCUCUCAAAUGGCACACGGUUAUCAAGUAGAGGAGGUCUAAACACUUCUUUCUUCUUAUGACGAAAAUUGACGUCGCUGUCAACCUGAGAAUCCUCAAGUGGUCGUUUGUUUGAAACUUGUUGACGCUGUUGCAAAAUAAAUCCAUCUUCGUGCGAGUCAACUUCAUCUUCCGCCUCUUUAGAAGCAUCCGGAUGUCGAGGAGACAAGCAUGGGCGUUGAGGAGCUAAAGCUACAGAUCUAUCUUGUAAAGGAGUCGUACUGGUGUAAUCAAGAGCUACCACUUGCAUAGGAACCACAUGACAGCCCUCUCUCGACAUAUCAUUGCCCGAGUGAGAAGAAUUGGUACCACUUGCCAUCCCCAAGUUCUUAUAAUAUACCUUUGACCACCAACGAGCAUAAACACGGGUCACUGGAUUACUCUUGAACUCGUCCUUGGCUGGCAGCGUGAUAACAACAUUUGUACAUGCACGGGUACAAGACUCCCAAUGCAUAUACACGGCUUGCAAGGAUGCUGAUUGGUUCUUUUCCUUCAGCUUGCCUGGUAAGUUUUGGACAAAACCAAAUUGCCUGCUGAAACGGUGGGGACUAUAUGGCUGAACAAUGUAUUGGUCUUCUUGCCGCAAAGAAACAAACCCCGAACAAAGACUUAUAAGAUAAGACAAGUUUGACGAGCGGAGAUGCGAAUUGUCUACGAUGCCUCGCCGCACCGAGCCAACUCUCGCUAAGGGGUCAAUCCUCAAAUCUUCACAACUUUCAAGUAGCACUCGUGCUUACAAAUCAUCAAGGCUCUUCGCGGAGAGCACGCCAGAAUACUUCAUCAUCAAAGACCCCAUCUUGGCUGCAGUCGAUGAAGAAGGCCUUGACUUGUCUAGAGUCGUCAAAGAAAAGUGAGUGCCAAAAUAUUCAGCCAACCAACCAUACACAUAGUGGUAAGGAAGCACCGCAGCACGAUCUUCAGUGCUUGCCGAGUUCGAAACAAUGCUCAAACCAUUGUAAAUGUUGGCUAAAAGUUGAAUAGCAAGGCUAAAAGACUCACCUGCAGCCAUCUUGCUAGCAAUUUUGAAAACUCUAGGACGAACUAAGUUGACGUCGCCUGUCAGGAAAACAAACUUACAAAGCCAACAAGCUAAGAAAGCAGCUAGGUAAGACUCAUCCACAUGCUCUGAUACUAUGCCAAGAUCCUCAAACGCUAUCAACUCGUUAGAAGAGCGGUGCCUGGUUGAGCCAAUAACACCGAACAGGUCUGAGUCUCCCUUUAGCAUAGUGGUCUUGUUACGACAACUUUUCUUCGAAGACUUCUUAUACCUCAUAGCCUCCCAGUACCAAAAUCGAAUCCAUGAGGAAAUUCUCACGCCUGAUUUACCUUGAGCAUCCUGGAAAAGCUUGUGAUACGCCCAAAACAAAUAGCGGCAACUCACAGGCAAUCCUUGGCUAUUGUAAAGAGAAAGUUCCUCCGCGCUGGGAACGACCUCGGCAUAAAACUUACCAUGGAUCGGCAAGCCUCCUAUCCUGUGAAGAUCCCACAGUGAAAUUGACAUCUCCCCUUGCGCCGUGUGAAGUGUGUUGGUCGUUGAACACCAAUGCUCAAAGAACGCCCGAAGGACGGAAGGAUGACGAUCAUAACUAAACAAAGAUGCGUACACAGCGUGGUAAAGGCCCACUUUAGUAAGCACAUCUUUAGAUCGGCUUAAGACAUCUUCAAGCCACUCCCAAUAAAACUCAUCAAAGACAGUUUCUCCAGUAGUCGACAGGGUACCAUUCCAAGCCAUGGCUCCGCUGCGAAUGUGAUCACCAAGAAGCUUAAACAAGACCGGAUAAUGGUCACGAGCAUGGUGCGAAUGAUUCAAAAUAAGAACCCUCAAUGUGCACACCUUUUUCUUAGUAUUUGGUUGAACAGCGUCUACCACCUCCCAAGAUACUUUAGAAGACCACGAUUUAAUAUGCAUGAAAUUGUCUUUCACGAGAAAAGCAAGCGCCUUAGGACCAGUUAGUGGCGGGUAAAGCUUCAACGUUGUUCCUUCAUCUUGUGAAUCGCCUUCCUUCGCAAGAAUGGUGAUGGUGUUGUUCCUAAAACAUUUGAAAAAUACCAUGAUCGUAAAUCAGCCACAAAACUUGAGCAGCACGACAAAUAUGGCAGCUACAAGAUGGUCCUUCAAGGCACGCUACAGUGGCAAAAGAAACCAAAAUGCUACGCAAUCGCACUACGCAAGCCCGCAGCGAUUACAUAAGCAGUUUCUUGCACUGCAUGUUGACGUCACCACCAAGAAAGAACUGUGACCAAAAAGCAUUACGCAGCAAAGCCCCGCUGCAGGCUCUUGCACAACACCACACGACAGCGCACCACCGAGGGAAAACUGUGGUCAAAAGGCACUACAUAGCGAAACCUCAUUGCAGUCUCUUACACAAGCACACCCACGGCCUGCUACCAUGGCUCUAAAAGCUUCGCGAAGAUCUUGGCGUCAAGCUCUGCCUUCUCAAGAUUAAAAAAUUCCUGACAUUACAAACAAAGAAAUCCAUUAGUGGGGACACACACAUUGUGCGUAAAAAAUAAAAAAAAAUAAAAACAUUAUAUUAUGUUAUAUAUAUAUAUAUAUAUAGACAUAUGUGUGCAUGGUUUGGUGAUGGGACAAGUGCACAAAAUGGAGAUGGUCACGGGACGAUCAACUUCCAUACAUAUAUAUAUAUAUAUAUAUAUAUAUAUAUAUAUAUAUAUAUAUAUAUAUGGCUUGAAAAGACGCAAAUGGUGAUGGUGAUGGGACAAAUAUAAAUAUAUACAUAUAUGCAUGGCUCAAAAGAUGGAAAUGGUAUGCACGGCUCAAAAGACACAUAUAUAUAUACACACACACACACAAGUGACUCACCAAGUAAAGGUAGCAUGAAGGAAUUGCAGAGGGCAAGGUACAUUAUAUUACAUAUAUAUAUAUGUAUGCACGGUGAUAAAGCAAACUGCAACAAUGAUAAAGCAAACUACAACAGCAGCUUUCCGUAUAUAUAUAUAUAUAUAUAUAUAUAUACACUCAAGUGACUCACCAAGUAAAAGCAGCAGCGUAGGAUUGCUGGACAAUGGUGCAGUGGCGAUGCAAGGCAGCAAGCAACGCAAUGGCUGAAGCUGUGUAAUGAGUGUACAAGCAAAGGAGCAGUCCCAUAUAUAUAUAACCGUCCCCGAAGAAACAAAUGAAAUGCGGUGGCUAUUCAAAACACAGGUCUGUGACUGUGCAAACUGUGCAAACGACCACCCGUGCCUGGGAAAGAAAACCAAAAUGAGAGGUGAUGGGAUGGUGCACUGUGAAAAUAUGAUUAUGUACACACAAAAGAAAGUGCAAGCUACUGUUAGCAAGUCAAAAAAAAAAAGGUGAAAAGGGAGACAGAAUGAUUGAAAGGAAGAAAGUUUUCCGUUUAAAAAAAAAGAGGGGGUAAAAGAAUAGUGUGCAUCAGGCACCAUCUAAAAAAAAAAAGAGAAAAAAAAAGUGAAAAAGGUGGUGGAGACAUAAUGAUUAAAAGGAAGAAAGUUUUUCGUCUGAAAAAAAAAAGGAAAAGGUGAAAGAAUAGUGUGCAUCAGGCACCAUCUAAAAAAAAAGAAAAAAAAAUUGAAAAAGGUGGUGGAGACAUAAUGAUUAAAAGGAAGAAAGUUUUCCGUCUAAAAAAAAAAAAAAAAGGUGAAAGAAUAGUGUGCAUCAGGCACCAUCUAAAAAAAAGAAAAAAAAAGAAAAAAAAAGGGAGUAACACAUCUUAGUCAGAUAUACGUUUUAGCACAACAUACUGAAUAAAAUAAAGUAUGUCCAUUGAUAUCUCUAAGAAAUUACAAGUGCGUAAAAAAAAUAAAAAAUAAAAAAUAAAAAAAAGGAGCCUUCACAAAUGUCACUUAUGUGAAGCCUCAGUACUUUAAGCCUUAGUACUCGGCAGAGCCCUAGAAGAGGGAGGCACUGGAGAUGGAUUAUUCGGAGCCUCAAUACUUGGUCGAACUCCAGAUGACGAAGGCAAAAGGUGCCUCAGGAAUACAUCCACAAAUAUCCGAUUGUCACUUUGAAUCCGACCUUCGGAGUCCAGCAACUGAUCAAGCUUCCUCUUCAUGCUCGUCGAAUAAUUAUUUGCAAGCACAUGCAACUCUCUAUUCUCAUGUUUGAGCUGUUUGAUCACUUGAUUGAGAGCUACCACCUCGGCUGUCAAUGAUUCAACUUGACGAGUUUGAACAAGUAAGUGUUGACCCAUGUUGGAAACAGAGUUCGCACACUGGACACUGAGAGCCUGGGACUCUCGAACAGCUAAUUCAUCAGGCCGUCGUGAAAGUAUCAUAUUAUCUUUAGGAGUGAUGAGGUUUCUAGCUAUAAUCGUAGCUGUUGCUGCAUCCCUCAUUACAGAGUCUUCAACUGUAAGAGGGCAAUUAGAAGAUGAGAAGGACGGGCGCCAUAUAUUACCCUGACGCGGUGCACCUGUGUCACUGCUGAGACUCAAAUCUAAGCAAAUGUUAGACGGGUUAGCCAUUUCCAAAAAGAUGGUAAAAGAAAAAGGUUGAAGUGACGCAUGUUGAAUGCAAUUGACACCUCUUUAAAAAGAAGAGGCAACACAACCACUUGUUAAAAAAAAAAAAAAAAAAAAAAAAAUCGAAGAGACGCUACUCUUCGAAUUUCAAAACCCGGAUUUUCCUGCGUAAAAUCCGUCAACACUUUUCAAACGCAGUUUCAGCUUUCGGCUAUCACGUGCAACUUUGCCAGAAAGCACUGACAAAGUUGAAAACGUGUGGAGUCCAUCAUACCUACCUACCUGACUUUUGGCCGACAAAGCAUGGGAGACAAGGCCACAUCCACCCUGCCACUUGCUGUUGGGAGCUCACCAUAUAAUUCGACCUCCAUCCUCUACAGCAAGACACAUAUCCAGCUUCUCUUCUUCCUUGCCGAAUGUAUCCGCAACCAAAACUCAGUUUUCUUCCUCCCUGAAAAUACAAACGCCUAACUCUUCUUCCUUACCAAGAAUACAUCUCCAACUAAAACCUCUUGACAUACUUAGUUUUCUUCCUCCCUGGAAACGCCUCUUCAACCAAGUCACACCGGAGUAAAAGGUAUCUCAUAUCACUGGGGUUGAGAGCAAGAGUAUCUCAUAGCAUGCUUUCUCCCUGUCAUUUCAUUUGUCCUUGUUUUGACCUACAAAGACAAGGAUAAAGAAAGCAAUAUGUCAGAACCUCCACUCAAGCUCCUGGUAAGGAACCGACUGCUUGGAACCUUUCGUGAUUGCUCACCUAGCACUGCUCUCGAAGUACCCAUUAUCUCAACAUCUUAUGCUUCUAGAGAAGAUACCACAUUUGCCGGGAGAACAGAAGAGGCGAGUGAAAAUGAUGUAUCGAAGCAUGUGGAGACAAGCUCAACAAAUACAUGUGUUGAUCAUCCGCUACUUCUUCAAAAGAAAAAGUAUCUCAUAUCAUCGGGGUUGAAAGCAAAGGUAUCUCAUAUCAUGCUUUUUCCCUAUCCUUUCUUUUGCCUUUGUUCUUACCUGCAGAACAAGGAGAAAGGAAGCAAUUAGUCGGAACCUGAAAUUAAACGUCCGAUCAGAAACUGAUUGCCUGGAACCUUUGCCUGGUUGCUUACCUAGCGUUGCUCUCGAGUACUCAUCUUCAACUGUUGACGGAUCUCGAAUUUCCUCAGCAAAUAUUUCAAAACAGUUGAUUUGGUGUUGGCUCUUUACACUGAAGCUGCCAAGCAUGGAUGAGUGGCUGAAAAGUGAUGCUCUGAAUGACUAUUUAAAGGCAAAAUGUUGCGCACCACUUCGGAUAGGCGAAAGAAACAAGCAAAGAAAAACGCAGCACGAUGAGCCGGAACAAAUCAUUAUGGCAGAACACCCUUCUCGGUAGAACUGCAUAAUCCAGACGGAGGGGUCUAAGUCAAAUCCAAGCCUGCCAUCGUUGUUAUAAUCAAAGAGCUCGAGAAGCUUCAACAACCUUUCACUGGCACUAUCGCCAAAGAGCAAAGUCUCGAUAAUCCUUAAAGAUCAAGUCACCAACUGGAAGAAGAGCCCAUCAAUCUUGAAGAUCAUACCGUUGACCAAAUUGCUCAGGGUUCAUAUGAAAAUGCUGCGAACUUCCUUGAUCUUUCAAAGCAUGCAUGUCCUGAAACUACUCGUGGUCAUGUUUAAGUUCGAGAUCAAGCCUCGACGGCCCUUAAAGAAAUCACAAGUCCGAUUCAAGAUCAAGUGGCCACCACCUUUGAAUCAAAUCCAGUUCAAGAUUAAUUCUGGGGAAAGUCAUUUGGAGGAAACCAGAAAACCCUCCAGCCCAGUUCAAGAAUAGCCUGUGGAAAGUUAACAAUUGGAGGAAACCAGAAAAUCCUCCAACCCAGUUCAAGAAUAAGCCUGUGGAAAGUCAACAAUUGGAGGAAACCAGAAAAUCCUCCAAACCAGUUCAAGAUCAAAGCUGUGGAAAGUCAACAAGCGCAACAAAAUACAUGCCGAUUCACCCACUACUAAAGCAAAAGAUCAUCUACCACAUGAAGCUCUUUGUGGUCCAAUUUCAACCUUCAAGAUCAAGCCUCAACGGCCUUUGAAGAAAUUUCAAACAAAGUUCAAGACCAAGCCCCAACGGCCCUUGAAGAAAUUACCAACCCAGUUCCAGAUCAAGCCUCAACGGCCCUCGGAUCAACAUCUGCAGUAAGGGACUUCAAAACGCAUCUUCUACACAUGACAAGCACAUGUAUACGACGCGCCUUGAAGUGGGGGCAUUUGUAGACAUCGAAAUUUCAGUAAAAUAAAUGUUGAUCAAUAAUUAAAAUUUCAACGUUUAUGUGUCACAUAAAUUUUACACAUAGCAUGUGACUAAACGAAAAAUCAAAAUAAAUCAGAAAAGUCAUCAAACAGGACACGUGUCAACACCUGGCAGAAAUGAUUUAUUUCAUCUAAUUAUUUAAAUCCAAAAAAUCAAGUUUUGGAAUUCUAUAAAUAGGAGGCCAAGGCAUUCAUUUUGGGGACCAAUUCAUAACCAAUUCACCUCACACCACAACCUUGAAGCUUUGAAACUCCAAAGCUUCCAAGCAAAUCCCGAAGGAUCAAGAAAUCUCUCUUCGUUCUUCGUUAAAUCCUCAUUCAAAAUCAAGCCCCAACGGCCCUUGAAGAACUUCCACUAAUUCAAGAUCAAGCCCCGACGGCCCUUGAAGAAAGUGUCCAUCAUUCAUCAUUCGUUCAUCCCUAGAUCAAGCCCCGACGGCCCUUUGGAUCAACAACGUCAACAAAUCCGCACAACUGUUUAUCCCAAGAUCAAGCCCCGACGGCCCUUUGGACCAACAACAUCAAAUCCACCCAUUACAAAGAUAGAAUUAGAGGUUAAAUUUGUAAAAGAGAUUGUAACCCCUAAAUCAUCAAUACAAAUAUUAUUUUGUACACGUGUUCUUGUCUCGUUCAUCGCAGGAAUUUCCGUGUUUACAGUUAUGUUAGGGUUCAUAAAUAAAAAACCUUGCAAACUUUUCAAAAAGUUUAAUCAUAUAAAUUGAUAUGAUCCUACUAGUGAAACAAAUGUUAAUGGUAAAUUAAAUUGUUGCUUUUCUACUUUAAUAAACUCAUUAUUUAUACAAUGUGUUAAGUAAACUGGUCUCUCAUCAAAUUGUGUUAUUCUUACUGGUUUUGCUAAUUUUUGUCUAUAUUUUUCUGGUACUAACUCUUCUCUUAUGACACUCUUUGUACUUCCUAUAUCUAUCAUAGCUAUGGUUUGUAUCUUAUGUUCUUUUGCUAAUUCUAUUUCGCAAUUUAUAGUGAUUAAAGAACUACUUUUUGGUUUUUCUAUACUAUGAACAAUAUUUCCUAAUAUUUCAGAUUCUGCUGAAUUAACUUCUAAUAACCUAUUAUUAUAACAUUUUUCACAUAAUAUUGAGUAUGUAUUGUAGUAUUUAUUUGCAACUAAUUUAUUACACUUAUGACAUUUUUCUGGCCAACCUAAAUUAAUGUAUUUAUAUUCUUCUUCAUGCUGUUCUUCUAUGAAUGCACACAUAUACUCUUCUAGAUCACUAUUUGUGCUACUUGAAUCUUCCGAGUCUGAAUCUAUCAUGUUAAUACUCUCUAUACUAUAAAUACUCUCAUUAUCACUUAAAUUAUCUAAACUGUAUAUUGACUGAAUAUCCUCAUCUUCUUCUAACUUAAACAACUCCAUCAAAUGUACUUUUUCUUUCGACUAUUUACCUAAUUUUGGACAUUUAGGUCUAAUAUGUCCAACUUCUCCACAUGAAUAACAUUUACAAUUACUCUUAUCUUUUGGUGCUUUAUAUUUCCUAAUCCAAGGUUUGCCACUUCUUUUUCUAAAUUGUUUUGGAAUAUAUUUUCUUUUCCUAUAUGUUCUUGAAGGUCUUAUACUGAAAUUUUUAUGUUGUUUGUAGGGUUUAUAUGACUUAUAUUUCUUUUUGUAUAUUUUCUUAUGGCAACUAUAAUGUUGUGGUAAAUCUAUAUUUUUACAACUCAUGUAAAAUUGUUUCCUAAUUUGUCUCUUAGCCUUUAUUUGACUACACUCUUGUCUAAGUAUAUCAUAUACAUGUUGAAUUCUAGGUCCUAUAGCAAUAUCAUUUUUCUUCGAAUGUUUUUGCCAUUCAUUGCAAAUCUUUUCACCUAUUGGUCCUUUUAUUUUUGUCAUAUAAGUAUCUAAUAAAUUAAUAUCACUAAUUCUACCUGUCCUUCCUAAAUAUUUAAAGAAAUCUGUUGUAUACUCAGCUAUAUACUAUAAAUCGCAAAUUUGUAAUUGUUCUAAAUUUCUAAUUGCUCUUAUUUGUUCUUGUUCGCUUCUGCCAUCUAACCUAUUAUGAUCUAAAAACUCUUGUUUAAUCAAAGUAAUAAAACCAUCAAUAUUGAAAUGUGUUUUAGCUGCCUGAUGUUGUUUUGGAUUUUGGACUUUCCAUGAUUGGAAAUAAUAAAAAACUAAAUCAUCCAAAGUAUGUUCAAAGUAAUCUAACAUGUUUUGUGAAUUACUAAAAUCUAACAUUAAUGCUGCAUGUACGCAGCCUUUUUCCCAUCUCUCAAUUGUUCUUUCCCAAUCUUGUGGAUCUACAUUAUCUAAAUUUAACAUAUUACUAGCUAUAUUAAUUUGUUCUAACCCUCUCAAAUAUGGAAUCCUAUUUUUUCUAGGUUUUAUCAUACUUUCUUCUAUAUAGUCUACUUUUGCUUUUUCAUUAUAUUGUUCAUUUGUUGGUCUCAAAAAUUGUUGAUCGGUUCUGCUUGCGUGUCCUGGAUUUUCUACUCCUGAUGUACUACUUUCUUCUGCUGGAUUACAUUUUGCGUUCAAUUCUAAUAAAUUAUUAUAUUCUUUUGAUCCUAAAAUGUGUUCUACUCCUAUUUCUAAGAUUAAAAUUUUCAUUUCUUCGUUUGAAAUUUUAUGUAGUCCUAAAUCAUGUCUUAUAUUUUUCCAAAUAUUGUUCUUCAUCUAAAUGAUCAAUAUCUUCUAUAAGUUUAUCUACAAUAUGACCAAAAUUAUGUUCAACUAAAUUAAUAUCUAAAUUAUCAAAAGCCAUAUGUAUACUUUCAUUUUCAAUUUCACUUUCAUCUUCUUCUAUUUUUUCUAGUUGCUUAUAAUUACUAAACCUAAUUGUUGCUUGACCUGUACUAGUUUCAUAUAUUUGUACUUUUUCUGGUUGUCUAUUUUGUGCUACUUGUAAAUUAGGUAAUGUCCACUGAGUUUCUUCUAAAAAGCUAUUAUCUACGGGUUUUGCUUCUAUCAUAUUUACAUGUUUACUGCCAAAUGUUUGAACUAAAUUUUGAAACUCUAAAUUAAACUUAUGAUUAUAUCUAUCAGACACUUUACCUAUAUACAUUAAGUUAAUACACAAAUUUUUAUACUCUCCUUUCAUAUUAUAAUUUUUUGUUCUUAUGCUUACUUUAAUAUACUUACUGAAUUCAUUAAUCGUCAUAACAUAAUUUGGAAUACAACCUAUGACUGCUAAGUUUGAACUUAAGUCUACUUCAGCUGUUGCUAUUGCUGCUUGUUGGUGAUUAUCCCAUCUAUCAUCAUAUACGUAUACUAAAGCUUUUGUACCUACUUGUGGUCUGGUUAAUCCUGCUAUUCCAAUUAAUAUUGUUCCUAUAUGAAUCUGACUAAAAUGUGAUUUUUUCAAAUGAGUAACUGCUUCUUUACUAAUUAGAUUAAGUGUGACUUCUUUAUCAAUACAGUUAACUUCAUGUUGACUGAUGCUGCUUACAAUUCUACUUAUGUUUUCAAAUAAACCUAAUUGAUACAAGUUAUAUUUAUUUUUCUGUGUUCUCUCAAAACCUCUUCGAAUAAAUUCUUGUGCUUCUUCUUCAUUUGGAUAAAUAUCUUCCGCUCUAACUAUUUCUUUUCCUUUUUUCCUAAAGAGUUCCAUUUUCUAUUAUCAAAAGGAUUUAGCUUAGGUCUUCUAUUAUUAUUUGCACUCAAAGUUAAAUUUUCUAAUUUAUCUAGCAAGGAUGGUGGAAGUGAUGAAGAUGCGUUAUGUAAAACUUGGUUUAUUUCUGCUAUUUGUUCUUCAACUUGAUCUAAUUUUUCAGCUAAACUUAAAACUAAUUGGAUAAUCAAAUUAUUUUGCCUAAUGGGAAUAUUACUACUGGAUACUUGUGUUGAAAAAUCUGUUAAUCCUUCUGGUUCUUUAUCUAAUUUACUAAUUUCUUUCAAAGCUUGAAUAUAUUUUCUACUAGUUCUAGAAUCUGUCAGUAAACUAAUAAUUUAUCUAUUUUAUUAUGCAACUUAUCUACUUGUUCACUCAACUCCUUUUGUACGAAUUGAAUUUUUUGAACUUCUAAUUUUAGUUGUUCAACAAUUUCUAAUGACUUAAGUUCUACUUGCUUUGGCUUACUAUCUAUGAGGUCAACAAGCUCUUUUAUCUCUCUUUUGCUAGGAAACAUUUGAAUAUUUUUAUUAUUAUCUUCUAACUGAGAUGUAAUAUAAUCUAAAUUUUGUCUAAUUAUCUUUAUGGAAUUUUUCUGAAAAUGUUCUAACAACUGGUUUAACAAAUGAUUAUGCUUAUUAUUUUCUAAUUUUAUAUUUUCUGCUUGACUAAUAAUAAGAUCUAUAAUACUAUUGGCUUGCGGAUUUUCUUCACUGUGCAAAAUAUGAUUAUGCUUUCUUGAUGGAAAAUAACAAACUAAACUAUUUUGGUCUAAAGUUAUUUUUCUUUUUUAGGUUCACUAAUUUCUAAAUUAAGAUAAUCUAUCAUAAACUACAGUCUUCCCUUCUCUAGAGUUAUAGCUAACUGGUUUCUUAAAAACUCUCUUUCUUCUCUCAAGGUCUCUAAAGCUUGAUAUGUUGUUCUUUUUGCUUCUAAAACUUUAUGCUGCACUUCUGUGUUAUUAUAUUUACAAAUAAAUAAAGGAUGUUCAAGAUAGCCAAGAUAAAACUUUUGCUUCUUCAAAGUACUGAUAAUUCAUUUGGAUAUAUAUGUUAAUCUUCUCUUUAUGCUAGUUAUAGUUGGAUGUCUGGGACAAUAAAUACCUGGUAAUUGUGGUUGACAGGGUCUACAGGGACAAUAAUAUCUGUUGUUCAUACACAAUAAACAAAUAUGAUAUCAAUUGUAUUAAUGACUUCUAUCCUCAAGGUACUUUACUAUUAUGCUUAUAUUAUUAAAAUGCUAAACUUGGCUCUGAUACCAAAUUCGAAACGCGUGCUUGGUUAAAUAGUCGGAUGACCAUUAUAACAACUAGACAUAGAACCUUGCAUAUGGAACUCGACAUGUUUCAACAUGACGGCCACUCACAGUACAAGUAUAAGGCCUUAAAGGCUGAACUCAGAGGUACGAAGAACUCAGAGGUACCCUGGUUAAUGUCCAGUUAUUUGUAUGGCAAACAUUCAACUAUAACAGAGUGCUCGAACACAGUAUGAUCGUCAGUUUAGCAGGUUAAUAAUAUAACCACAAUAGUGUUUCCCUGUUUUGGACUAGAAGUCUAAUUAAACAAACACACUAAGUAAGGAAAAGAAAACUUACUUAAGACUUGGAGAUUGCUUGAAUAUGUACACUUGAACUUUUAUUGAUAUAUGGGAUGUUUACAGAGAUAGUUGUUUACAAGAAAGUGAUUACAAAGAAGUGUUUAUAAGGAUGCUAUGAAGGCUACGAAUGCUAGAGUGUAUGAAGUGAGUAUGGUGUUUUCAGAUGUUGAGAGAGUUGUGUGGUAUUCAGGUGUGUUCUGUAUGGGAGGAAAGACUCCCUUAUAUACAAAAUCUAAAACUUCAAAGACAAAAUAACAUUUUAUUUAUUUACAAAUUUUUGAAUAGUGACAGCACACUGUUUCUGAAAACUGUCAGCACUGUUUCUGAAAGCUGGCUGUCUUGUCUUUGCUUGAAUGUCAUGUGAAUUUAUAUUGUCUUGGUUGUUGCAAUGUUUGCCACAUAUCCUUUUGCAUGUAAAUGCUUUCUGAAAAUGUCAAUCUCCUUUUUCUUCUUUUGGAUGUAUCCACAUGAACUUUGCAUAAAACUGACCCAAUCUUGUACAUAUGUGUGAAGGGUAGGAUCAGCAUUUUUGAAAAAAUCUGUCCUGAUGAUUAAAAGUAAAGUUUUGAGGGUGUUUUGGUUAGUUUUCCAUUAAAAAAAUUAUAAAACACAUUAAAAAUAAAAAUAUCAAGUAAUUUAAAAAUACUAAACACAUUAAAAAUAAAAAUAUCAAGUAAUUUAAAAAUAUCAAACACAUUUGAAUGAUUUACAAUGUUUGAUUUUUUAUGCUUAGUUUAUGUGGAAGAGAGUGCUAAUGUGGAAAGCAUUAAAGAAAACAUUGUCUACAACUCUUGAAGACAAUGUAUCAAGCUAAAGUUCUAAUACCAUUUCGCUUGGUGAUUGAUGAAAAUUGAAGGGUUUUAUUGUAAAAAAACGUCCAAUGUUUCUCAACUUUGAAAUGCAAACUUCCUUCAUUUUGCACAUCCUUGAACAUUUGAUAUUUUUUUUAGUAAUGUACUAAUGUUUUUUCAUUAGGCUCUUUUUUGGGAUAUAUAAUACUUGAAAGACAAAUUUUAUUUAUUUAUUUAUUUAUUUUUUUUAAUGUUUUGAAGUAAUAUUUAUGUAACAACUUGGUAUGCAUAUACUAAGUUAGUAUUAGGUUUUCCAUUUUUUUGGGGUCAAAUUAUGCUUUUUCAUUUUCAUUAUUUAUUGAUUUAAAAUAUAUUUUCUUUAACGGGUAACGAAUCAGGUCAUAUUACCUGAUAAUAUUAACGAGUCGAUUUAGGUUUAGGUUGAUUUAGGAUCGGGUCAUGUUACCCGUUUAUUUUAACGGGUGUUAUAUGACACGACCUGUUAAGAUAUCGGUUAUGUCACGAACACAGAAAACACAACACGAAUGUCAGGUCUAGGAGUAAGAACCUAAAACCCCAACAUUUUAGUGUCAUUCAAAAUUGGUCUUAACAUUUUUAAACAUUCCAAACAAAUACCCAACCUCUUAAAAGCCGCAUUUGUUAAGCCCCAACUAAAUUUCUGUCAAAUUAAGGCUUAUUUUGUAUCCAACACCAAUAGAAGGUCAUGACUUCCACCAAGUAAUGGUCACCAUCACUGUCUACAAGCCAUCACCUCCAAACCCAUGCACAACCACAAACUCCACCCUACAACUCAAGUUGCCAACAUCGAGGAAAAUGUCAUGGAGGUUGCUGAAAUGGUAUGGACCGCCAAUAUGCAGCCACCACCAUCUUUACUGCUCACAAAAAAAAACUAAAAACUUUACUAGCCGAAAAUGGUAUGGACCGCCAUUAUUCCUGAAUUUGUUUAUUUAUUUUUAACUUUUCAUCUUCAUAUCAUUUUUUGAUAUUAUUAUUUUAGUGUCCAAGUAAGCAAAUAAGUGAGACUCAUUGUUGCCACAUGUACAUUCAACGGAAAAUUUAAAGGAAACCCAACGAAAAUUCCAAAAAACUUUAGUUUUAAUGAAAAAUGACAAAUAAAAGUGUAAUGAAUAGUACCAAAGAAAGGUAAAAAUGUGGUUUUUCGUUAAAAGUGAACCGUACCGGGAGUGUUUCGUUAAAACUCCCAAUAUUUAACUUAGAACUUAACAUAUGUGACACUUUCAAAAGAUUGAGAACCUGUUUGAAAUGUCAAAGUUGAGUACUUGUUCGGAAUAUUUAAAAAGGUUGAGACCGAUUUGAAAUGAUACUAAAAAUUGGAGAAUUUUAGGUACUUAAUCCUAAAAAAAUAAUAAAAGCAAUUUUAUUCCCACUGUCUGGCGAGAAGAACCUGCAUACUGGAAAGGAAAGAAGCCGUCGACGUCGUCCCACACAAUUGAAAAUCAGUGGACGGUUUUACAUUCACUUGCAUAAUGGAUUACGGAUACAAGAACUGCUCCUCUCUCUUUCAGAAUCUUAUCACGCACCAACUCUCUGAAGAAUCAAAGGUCGACUAUCACUUCUUUUGGAAUCUGAUCUUUUAAGAUGCUUGAAGGUUUUGAUUACUUUACGUGGCCACGACUUCUGUUCUUGAAGAAAACAUGCUUGGUAGGUAAGAAUUUUUAAUGUUUCUUUUAUUCAUGGGACUCCCAUGAUGGGAGCAUGCAAUUUGAAAGCGGAAGCGAAUGUUUUGCACAAGGAAUCAGAGAGAUAUAAAACACGGUGAGAAAAUUGUUUCUGCAAAAGGAAGAAAUCAGGAUCCAAAAUCGAUCAGAAUCGAAUGUUUGAGUGAGUUAGUGGUUUAAUCACCAUUUACAGGUUUGAGAGUUUGUAUUCCUAACAAUUUUGAAAAUUCAUCUUCUCUUCUAUAGGUUUUCAGCUGGAUAAUAAAAGUGGAAUCGUUUUAUUCUCGAAUGGUUUCUUGACUUGUGCUUACUAAUUUGUAUGGUACAUUGGCAAUAUUAGUUAUUUAGAUUUAGUGAAUUUUGUAAUGAAUUGGAGUGUGCAUGAUUUCUUUGUUCACGUCAUGGGUGCAAUAAACUCUACUUCACAAUGCGUUACGCGUGACGUAAAGAAGAGCUUGAAAUAUAUUUUUAGUUGUCAAUUAAGUCAUCGGUUCAGUCUAUUUCCAAAUAAAAAUGCAAAAAAUAAAAUAAAAUUCUAUAUGAUGCUCGUAACGUGCCAUGGUUAAAAAAAAUCUUUCGCAAGUGCGUGUAGGAAAACUGGUAAUAUAAAAAUAGAAAACUUCAUUUUAAUCCCUAAAAAAAUGAGUUUUAGAUUAUAACCAUAUGUAAGAUUAAAAUCCAAUUUUAGUCCCUAGCACAUUUAAUCAUAUCAUUUAUUAGUUGUAUUUUGAUGUUUUAUUUUAUCUUUUUAUUUUUAUUUUAAUGUAUUAAUUACAUUUAAAUUUAAUUUUUAUUUCAUUCAUCAUAAUAUAUUUUAAUGUCUACAUUUAGGCAACUAAAUUUUUUAUAAUAUAUUUUCCGAUAACAAUUUUGUAUGUUCUUCAUUUAGGUACAUUAAUACAUUUGAAUAUUUUGGUAUAUCUAUCGGUACAAACAUGUAGUUACAUUGAUUCAAUAAAAUGCAUUUCGAUCAAUAUAAUGCAUUUCAUUACGUACACUUUGAUACACACACUUGAGCAUUGACUUUUAGGUACAUUAAUUCAAUUAUUAUUUCGGUAAAUACAUUUAGGUACAUACAUUUUGGUAUUGAUAUUUAGGUACAUACAUUUUCGGUAUUGACAUUUAGGUUCGUACAUUUUGGUACAUACAUUUCGGUAUUGACAUUUAGGUACAUUAAUUCAUUAUAAUACAUUUCAAUACAUACAUUUAGGUUCAUUAUAAUAUAUUUCGGUACAAUCAUGUAGGUACAAAUAUUUUGGUACAAAAAAGUCAAUUUUAUAUAUUUUGGCACAAUCAUUUCUGUACACUUAUGUAUCUAUAUAUUUUUGUAUCACAAUUUUUUUUUAAUAUUUUCUCAUUUAUGUUCAUUUCUAAUUAAAAAGAUUAAAUAUGUGCAUAUUAAUAAAAUUAAAAUUUAAUAUGGAGAGAUUAAAUAAAAAUACACAUUAAAUAAGAAAAAUUGAAUGUAAAUUUUGAUAAAAGUACACUCAAGGGAUUAAAUUGAAUAUUUAAUCUAGCAUCAGGUUUUUUUUUAAAUUUUGAUCUUUUUCAAUGACUAAUGUUCAAAAACCCCACAUAAAAAUGCUUUGAUUAUAGAAAGGUUGUCCAAGUAUUUUUGAUAAAAAGGGUUUUGUGAAGAUUUGUCAGGAUAUUAAGAAGAUGUUGACGAGGCAUAUAUUCUAAAAACUAGAAAGUGCCGGUAAUUACCUCGCCUUUCCAGAUCCGAGCUUGAAUAUAAAUAUCCAUCCCGAUCAGUUUCAAAUUCUGCACACACUCCUAAACCAAAUUUUCAGAUCUUCUACAAGAACUAAAGAGAAUGUCAGGCUACUCACACUCUCCUCCCGGCUAUGGCUAUGGCUACGGCCACGGCUACGGCAGCGCUUCACCUCCAGGUCAACCCUACGGUGCACCGCCGCAAGGGCAGCACCAAUACGACCAUAAAGCCCGAGCCAACGGUGCUCCAGCUAAGCCUCACAAGAAUCAAGCCCACGGAGGCGGAUACCCCGCGCCUGCUCCAAGUUACGGCAGCCUGUUCGCGGCUUUGGUUCCGUCGGUGUUCCCGCCGGGCACGGAUCCGCAAAUCAUAUCUUGCUUUCAGCUGGCAGAUCAGGACGGUAGCGGCUUCAUCGACGACAAGGAGAUGCAGAGAGCUCUGUCGUCGUACAAUCAGAGCUUCAGCUUGAGGACUGUUCAUCUUCUCAUGUACCUUUUCACCCAGACCAACACCAGGAAGAUCGGUAACCAUUUACAAACCCUAACACUCCAUGCAUGCAUAUCUGUGAUUUUCUCGUUGAAUUUGAAAUUUAUGCUCACCAGCUUACUUAUUACUGUUGGAUUCGUUUAAUCUUUGAUAUUUGUAUCUAUCAACCGCUCAAUCUCAAAAUGUAAACUCAUUAUGAUAAAUAAAGUGAUGAACGUCACUAUCAUUUGAGUGUGGUGAGUAAAAAUAUUCUCUUUUCGGAGAAUUACUUAUUUAAAAAGAGACUAGGUCAUCAUGGUUACUUAGUUCAUCAUGUCAUGUAUAAGUUUUUCGUUACAUGACAUGACAUUUCAUUAGUAGAUCGAGACGCCACUAUCAUGGUGAAGUCAUUCUAUACAAGUUGUGUGUGGGGGUUAAUUUGCUACAAUUUAUCUUUGUAGCUUUCAGUGUAGCUCAAUUCACUAUUAAUGAAAUAGUCGAUGAUAAUAAUAUUUAUUGUGUGUGCGGGUAAAUUGUGAAAACAGGACCCAAGGAAUUCGCUGCACUGUUCUACAGUCUUCAAAGUUGGAGGGUAAUCCCCCGAAUUCCCUUCUUUUUUUUAUUUAUUUUUUUAAUGGAUCGUUUGAUAAUCAUUUUAUUCUCAUUUUUCAGUUUUUAUUUUUACUGUUUAAAAAAAAAAUGAAAUGUAUUAGUACUUCUUUCAGUUUUCAGAAAAUGAAAAAUUGAAAAUUACUUUUUUGAUCAUUUUUCAAAAUUUUAGUAUUGAGUUUUCACUAUUUUGUUUUAGUUUUCAUUUUUUUGAAAGCUGGAAAUAGUUACCAAACAAAAUUUCAGUUUUUGGUUUAAAAAAAAAUUCAAAACUAAAAACUAAAAAUGAAUGGUUAUCAAAAGUCCCCUAAAAUUUUGUCUUCUAAUUAUUGUGUGAAAUUAACUGUUUUGUAAUUGGUGUGGUUGAUCAGGGAGUGUUUGAGAGGUUCGACCGGGACAGAAGUGGGUUCAUUGAUGCAAAUGAGUUGAGAGAUGCACUGCUGAGUCUGGGAUUUGCUGUCUCACCUGUAGUUUUAGAACUGCUGGUCUAUAAAUUCGGCAAGACUGGAGGCAAAAAGAGGGCCAUUGAAUAUGACAAUUUCAUCGAGUAUGUUUCCUUUUCCUUAUUUAUAUCAUUCUUUUCUGGGAUUGGCUUGAGGAUCAAAUUCUUAUGAAUUAGAUACUUACUUGAUUUCAUUUGGUAUAUUUUAUAUUACGUUUUCUUAUCGAAAUCUGAUUAUUCCUUGUUCGUUUAUUUUGGUUAAAUGCAGGUGCUGUAUGACUGUUAAGGUGAGUUCGAUGUUCACUGAAGCUUAUAUUUUGUAGUUUUAACUGGGGAACUUGUACUCGGUCCUUCGGCUUUAGAUUUUAUUCCUACUUUGAUAAUUGAGGUUUAUUAAUCUGUUCUUGCUGUCUACGUAUCUUAAAAGCAUCGGUGUGCAAGUUUAAUCGGAUUUGUGCGUAGUUUGUGUGAUUGAGUAUUCAAAAAUUUAAAUUAGUGGGUUAACCGAUAAACUUUCAAUACUUAAUGGAGCGUGUUCUUUUGUGAUUCUUGUGUCUUCAGGGAUUAACUGAGAGGUUUAAGGAGAAGGACAGAGCGUACACUGGUAUGGGAACUUUCACUUAUGAGGAGUUCAUGUUGACUGUCCUGCCAUUCCUGAUUGCGUAGGUUGUGUGUUGUUUAAGGCUUUAUGAAUUCGGUUCGUGGUUUUACAGUGUAUUGUAAUAUCUAGCUCUUUCUUUCCUGUGUCUUAGCGGAGUGGAGUGCAGUAGCUGUAUUUUUUCACUAUAUAGCUUUCAUAUAAUAAGGCUUCAGCUCCUGGUUUUACCAUGUCUUUAACUUUUGCAUCAUUUUCCAAUUAAAGGUUGAUGUCGUUGGAAAUAAAAUUUUCUUUGGCUAAGAAGUGAGAUGACUUUGACAUCAUUUUCCUAUGUAAUUUUUUUAUUUUAGGAAAAACAUGAAAUAAAUAAUAAAUAAAGGGGACUUCUCCCCAUUUAAUUUUAAGAAAAACUAACAGAAAGUCCAAUUUUUUUUUAGUUUUAUUAAAAAAUGACAAAUAAAGGUGUAGUGAAUAGUAGUCAGGAAAGGUAAAAAUGUGGUUUUUCGUUAAAAAUGAACAGUACCGAAAGUGUUUCGUUAAAACUCCCUUUAUUUUAGGAGUAAAAAAUUCCAAUACGAAACCUUUAAUCCAGGCAAGGCAAGCACAUAUAUAGUAUCUUCGAAAUUUCUAAUGAUGUAACCAUUGUUUUUCCUAUUAAAUUGUUUUCCACGUUAACAAGGCACGAGUACCAAAUUUGUACAUCGAAUGAUGUGUCAUCAAUUGAAUUUAGAAAAAUACUUAGGUACUAACUAAUCAGUACCCAAGAUACUGAACAUAUGAAGUGGCCCAAUAAGAACAAAACACAUGUCACAACUUUAAUUUGAUAAACUUGUAACUAAACACAGUGUUAACCACACAUCCAAACAUCCCCUUUCUCUCUCAAAUCCUCACCAUUCCAGCCUCACUACUCCUUGCUUUUGCCAUGGUAUCAACGCCAGAAACCUUGUCUUCCCCAACGCCUUUGGGAACCUCAACUUCUCCGUUGUCCUCACCCACAUCUAACCUUUAUGUGUCAACUUCGCCCUAAAAUCCCCCUAUUCUUUAUCGUGGAAGCCAUAGCAACACCCCGUUGUUGUUCGUCGGACUUCUCCGUAGUGGAAUCUUUGGCAGAUCCGAACACCAACCUUCUCCUGAAUUUCAUUGUAUAAUUUCAACCUACUUCAUAAUUUUUUCUUAUAGAUGAAAUUUCCUUCUUAAGAUUAGCAAGAUGGAUCUGAGCUUUCAUGGGUUUCGUCAAAUUUGAGAGGGUGAAGCUGCCAUGGCUUCGAGAGAAAGGAGAGGAGGUGGUUGGUGGAGAUGUGGCAGCAGUGCUUGUAAUGAGAGAGAAGAUGGAUGUUUGGAUACUAGUACAAGAGAUGAAAUGGUGCUUUAGGUUAGAAAGAUAGUAAGAGCUGUGAGAGGGUUUUAUUUGACAGUUGUUUUAAAUUUAGUGGUCCAAAUAGGAUGGUCAGUAACUAUGGUACUCCCUGUUGAGUACCCAAGCAUUGUCCUUGAAUUUAUAUGGUAUAUUGCAAAAGUUUUAUGUAUGUAGCACCACCCAACAAAAUCAGUUUUACAUCUUCAAGGGAGUUGGAAAAUUUUAUAUGUAAAAGUGUUCUUUGGUAAACUACGUGGCACUUAUAUGCUAUUAUAAAUUUUUUCAUUCCAACUUCUUUUCAACCAACUCUUCAAAUUUUAUUCUUCAUCUUAAAAUAUUAUUAUUAAGUACCUAAAACUCCUCAAUCUUUUUGUGUCAUUCUAUAUUGGUCUCAACUUUUUUAAACAUUCCAAAUAAGUAACCAACCUAUUGAAAAUGUCACAUUUGUUAAGUCUCAAUUAAUCCUUUCGUUAAAUGUACAUGUGACAACAAUAUGUCCUACUUAUUAGCUUAUUUGGACACUAAAAUAAUAAUAAAAAUAACUUUAAAAAAAGACAUGAAGAUGAAAAAAUAAAAAUAAAAAACAAAUUCACGAAUAAAAUUGAAAACAAAAAUAAAGAUUGGAAAAUCUCCUAACAAGAAGAGGCUAAGAAUUCAUAUAUGGUUUCAAUGAGCUUGUUUCUACUCAUGUGAUUUCCUCAUUCGCCAAUUUUCAGCUAAUAAAGCUUCAACUUCUUCUUUGUGGGCAAGGAAGAUGGUGGUGGCCACAUCAUGACAGUCCAUACCAUUUCAUCAACCUCUAUGACCUUCAUCUCGGUGUUGGUCGCUUGAGUUGUUGGGUGAAGUUCGUUGUUGCGCGUUGGGUUUGGAGGUAAAGGUCUGAAGGGGGUGGUGGUGACCAUUACUUGGUGGAGACCAUGCUUCCAUAACAUUCUAUUGAUGCUGGAGACAACGUAAGCCCUAGUUAAUUUAACAAAAGAAUGAAUUGGCACUAGAAGAAAAAAGCUCAUCUAUCACGGUCAAUGCCAAUGGUAGAUUACAAUCCACCACGGGCAUUGUGCCCGUUAGUAAUCUGGAUGUGAUAAAAAGUCUCAGUUUCUACCACGAGUUAUACCCGUUGUUAAAUUUGAUAUAACCACGAAUUGUGCCCGUGGUAGACUAGGAUCUAUCACCAUGUGCACUAUGAUUGUUGUGGAUUACAAAAUGACCACGACCAAUGCCCGUUAUAAAAGAAUUUCCAAAUCUAAAAAAAAAUUUAAAAAAAAUAUUUAUUUUUAUUUAAUAAAUAUAAUAUUUAUAUACAAGAUUGCACAUUUACUACAAUAUAAUAAUUACAUAAAAAAUCACAUUUAAAAUCAAUGAGCUAUCCUACGAGAUAUGAAACUAUCUAUCAAGUAUGAAAUACAUCUCCAUUUACAAACAAAUUAUAUCACUUAAAAGACUUCACUUUUUCUUGAAUUGUAUGACAAAGAUUUGUAAUUUGAUAACCGCCGCUGCCACUGCCAUUGCCCAUUCCUCCUAGUUGAAUAAUUCACCUAAACACAUAAGGAAAAAUAAGUUGAUCAAACGAUUACUUCUAAGAAAACAGAUGCUUAGCAAUUUGGUAUAUAACAUUCAAAAUUAUGGCUAUGCCAAUAGACUCAUUAAGCUCAUGAACAAAAAUGAUUUGAUUCCAUGAAAACCUUAACAUCUAAGUGACAUCUUAGAAGAAAGAAGAUUGCAAUGCAAGAUUGAUUCCGAGACUGAUUGAGAAAAAACAUAUUCUUUAUCUCCACCACAAAAAUUUUCUCAGAUUUAUGAAGGCAACACACUUCUUUCCAGCAACUGCCAACAUUAGGACAAACACAACUGUAAGUGCCAUCUCUAGGACUUCACCCAACAUCUCUGAUACAUCCCCUUACAGUCAUGUUAUUCUAACACAUAGUAUUUAAGAAUUUCAUCAUGCAGUCAUAGUGUGACAUCAUUAAAUUUGCCACAUUAAAGAUGUUAAUCAUAAGGAUAGUGAAAUUAAGCACUUACGUCUUUGAGCUGCUACUCCAGCGUUGUUUGGGCUCUACUCUCAAUGUAAACUUGCCUUCUAGCUAAAUGAAUUGGAGAUGCCUGCAGGGAACAGGAAAAAAAACACUUUCAGGCCAUGCACACAGAUCAUCGCUUUAUAAAAAUAAUGCUUUUUAUGAAAGCUUGAUAAAGUUUACUAAAAUGUGCUAAACAUCAAACUACAACAGCCAUGGAUCAGCAAUCCAUAUGAUACACCCAAAAAGGGAAAACACUACAAUCAAAACUAUAUUGUAUAUUAAUAUUAUGCCCCAAGACAACAUAACCUCCUAAAAAGGUAACUGAUUGAAGAAACAACAGGCCAUCAAUCCACAUUAACAGAAAAAGAAUGGAAUGAUCUUUAAUUCUCGAUACUAAAUUCCAUAGAGAUUGUCUAAUAACUGACCAUAGCCAACAAAAUAUCCAAAUAACACUUAGCAUUGAAAUAUUCAAGCAUCAUAUGCAACCAAAUGACCUUAAAAAUGCCACAACACCAAGCCCUACACAUAUUUAAGUAUAGAAGUACAAAUUACAAGCACAAGCCCAAAAAAUUAUUACAAAGCAAAUACAAGGGCAAAUAGUUCAUCAAUGUUGACAAUAGUGCAAGUGUAAGUAUGGGAACUCUCUAACAAUUGAAUACUCAAAGACGAAUGCAAUAUGCCUUAAGAAUCCGCAAUAGAUGCAUAACUACAUAUGAGACCUGACAAAACUUUCAACAAAUAACAGGAAAUUUGCCUGAAUCCAAUGAACAUUUUGAAACAAAAGCAAAAAACUCCACAACUUAUCACAAAAAAACCAAACCUUGAGUGCAUUGUGAAUGCCAACAAUGUCUUCAUAUUCAACAAAAGCGUAGCAGACUUCGAUUUCCCGCACGCACCAAUUUCUACUUUAGCUUGAUCCAGUUCAUAGUUUUAGAGACAAACUCACCUUGCCAGCCCUCAUCAUGUAUAAUUUGACCGAAGUUUUUAAACUUCUCCUCAAUCUCAUCUUCAGUAACCGUAGGAGGCAAAUUUCUUAUAUUGGUUGUGCAUAGCACUUUCAAAGAAUAAAUACCAAAACCUAGAUCUUGAAUUUCUAAUAAGAGAUUGAACAUAAGAAAUUCAGAUUUUCAAAAUUAAACAAUUGGUUAGUAGAGAGAGAGUGAGAUUACAUACGAGAAAAAUUGAACGAAAGGAAAACAGGUAAGAUUUAGAAAUCGAAAUACUAUCAACUCGGAAAUUACGAAUCACUAACAACAACUUCAAAUUAUCGCUACGAUUAUUCAUAAUUUUAAAAAUUAAUUAAAAAUAAUUAGAGAGAUUGAGAAAAUGGAUGACCAGGUCAUGGCUAAUCGAACCAUAUGUGGACAACCUCGGCAAAGAGAAUGUAGCACCAUUAUUGCAUUCACUCCCACUACAAAUUAGUUCGUUCCCAGUUGAAGCACCUCAGUUUCUGGAGCGACAUGGAGUGGAAGGGAUGGUCUCCGCUGUUGCGGUGAGGCUACGGAGGAGAGCGCAUGGAGGUUGUGUUGGGGUUGAUUUGUUGGGUUGGUGAUGUUGUUGCAGGAGGAGAGUGGGAGGUUUUUGAUUGGGCAACAUCAUGAGGGGAAGAAAUUGGUGGUUGUGGUGAGGUGAGGAUUCAUGGAUGAAGAGAGGCGAUGGGUGGAGAGAAGAUAAAAAAAAAUGAGAGAAAAGUUUGUGAGAGAGAGAGGUAAAGUAAUAGGAAAUUGAGGAUUUCACUUAAAAAUUGAGAAUUGCGGGAGUACAGUGAAAUUUCAAAGAUUUGAAAUUUUGGGAAGUUUUUCAAUCCCGCCUCCUAAAUCUUUUUUAAUAACGUGUGUAAUUUAACCACAUUGAAUUUUUUUAUUUACCACGAACAUUAAAUGUUGUUAAAAAUAAUAUUACCACAAUAAAGAUCUGUGGUGGUUUAAUAUUUCGACAACAUGCUGAUUAAGUUUGUGGUAUUAAAUUGUUUUAUUAUAACGGGCCACUACUUGUCCAUUGUAAAAUAUUAUUAUCCACAACGUGCUAACUAAGCUCAUGAUAAAUGUUCACUUUUUAUAACAUGCGCAUAAAGCCCGUGGUAAAUUUGUCGUGGUAGAUGAGUUGCUGUCUAGUAGUGUGGGGUUUAACGUAUGUGACAUUUUCAACUGGUUGGGUAAUUGUUUAGAAUAUUUAAAAAUGUUGAGACCAAUUUGGAAUAACACUAAAAGGUUGAAGGGUUUUAGGUACUUAAUCCAAAAUAUUAUUAUAUCAUGUUUGUCUUAUUUUUGUGGGGCCCGAAUUUAUGUUUUGGACACUUUAAUAAACAAUACAUUUGAUUAAAAUAUAGGGAACUUUAACGAAAAGCUUCCGGUAUUGUUCACUUUAACGAAAAACCACAUUUUUACACUAAAAAGUCAAUCAUGGUACUAUUUACUUUACCCUUUAUUUUGUCCUUAUCGUUAAAACUCAAAGUUUUGAAGUUAUUUUCAUUAGUUUUCCUUAGCUAUUUUCCUUAGUUAUUUUCAAGCUAUCAUCAAAUAAUAUUCAAUCUCAGUGAUUAGAUUUAAUAUAUUUAAAAUUUUAAAAUUACCCAAACUUUAAGUUUUAACCCAAAACUUAUUUUAGACCCAACUAUUGGAGAUGAUUGUGUUAGUUUAAAACCUAAAUCUUGGAGGGGCAGCCUGUUAACCCUUGCCUAAAUUUUGGGUUAACAAUUGGCCCCCAAAUUUUAGGUUUUAACCUAAAACUAUUUUAGACCCAACCAUUGGAGAAAGAUUGGAUUAGUUUAAAACCUAAAUUUGAAGUUUUAAAUCAAGGGUUGGAGAUGUUCUUAGAGAUGCUCUUAACCCACUGGACAAAAAAAAUGUUCAAAUUUGGAAUCAAAUUAAUUAUAAAAAUUAAUAAAAAGCCCUCACUAAACUUUUAAUUAUUCAAAAACUUUUAGACAAUUAUUUAUCAUCAAGUGCACCUUUUCUUAUUAUUAAGGAUUAUUUUUUUUUUCAUUAUUAAGGAUAGCAUUUUAAUUCAUGAAAGUGUGACCUAUUUUUUUAAGAAAACUAAUGAAAAAAACUUUAAAACUCUGAAUUUUAACCAAAAAUCAUCAUAUAACUAUAUUUAACGAUAAAGACAGAAGAGAGAAAAAAAAUCUAACCCCAAAGGCGUGUGCAGCAUAACUUUGUGGCUUCUGACUCUGCACCAAAUAAGCUGCAGCACAUGCAAGAGACUGAAAGCUCUUAUGUUGCCAUCAACAAUGAGACCCAUCAAUCUCAUGAGUAAACAAACACACAUAAAAACCAAAAUCUACCACUCCCCACGAAUGAAAAGAGGAAAGAUGAGAAUCAGAGAAAAUUUUCCCAUUAUAGCAAUUGUAAUGUAUGUAGAAUUCUACUUGCUGUAUCGUUGUCCCUUGUUAUCUUAUAUGAUUGAUGCAGAGAUUAUUAAUAGUAAAUGCAUAAUAUAGAAGGUCAUGUUAGCUGUGCCGGAUGACAGAACUCUCCUAGGAACUUGACGGAAGUCGACAAAUAUCAUAGUCACUAACUGUAAUUAUUGAGUUUUCUCUUGGUAUUAUAGGUUUGUAAUGGUAGAGGUAGAAAGAGGCCUUGUUUUCCUGUGCGUGUGGGCGCUUACAUCUUUAUUUUUCGUAUCCUUUUACGACAUUAAGGCAUUUUUUUGGGUUUGUGAUUAAAAAAAAAAGAUGAAAAUUAGAAGAAGAAAAUGUGCUUGGAAGGUGAGAAAGUGCCGGCAACAUUUAAGAUGAGAGAGAAGAAUGGUCAUGAACUUCAUGACCAUAUUCAGUUUAAGAAAUAGUUAGUGCACGCCAAUCUGUAUUCAGUUUCAGAAAUAGUGCCCGUGUUCAGUUUUAAAAAUAGUGUAGUACUCGUGUUCAAUUUUAGAAAUAGUGUAGUACCCUUGUUUAGUUUCAGAAAUAAUUAGUAUUCAGUUUUCAAAGUGUUCAGUUUCAAAAAUAGUAUAGUACCAUUUAGUUUCAGAAAUAGUGUAAUACUGUUCAAAUUUAGAAAUAAUUUGUGACCAUUUUUUUAUUAAUUUUUUUUCUAUUUUUUAUUUUAUUAUAUUAAACUUUUGUCGUUUUCAUUAAAAUUUAAGUCAUUUUCAUUAAAGUUUAAGUCAAUUUCAUUAAAUAAAGUUAUAGGAUGAUUUUUUGUUAAAUAAACUUCGUACUGGUUUGGUAUUGAUGUGCUUUUAUAAAAAGUAGGUAUAAAAAAAAGUUGAGCUCAACACUUAAAAACAGCUUAUUUUCACAGUUUUGGGUGAAAAAAAGCUGAAAACGUGAAGUAGCAAAAAUAAGCUUAUUUUCACAGCAUAGCAGAAGCGCUUUUCAUUAAACUUUUCUUUUUUUUUUUCUGUAUUUUUAUCCUUAUCUAAACUACAUAUUAAUAUGUUCACCAAAAAAAUAAAAAACAAACUACAUAUUAAUAAAACCCUAUUUAUCAACCAAAAGAAGGUGAAGAUAUUAUUUAGUCUUUUAUCACAACAACAAAAUUAAGGGUAGUAACGUAAUUUCACAAAAUAAAAUUUUGCUACUUUUUGUUUAAGCAUCGCCUACAAGUGAUUUUGUUAUCUUUAAUUAUAUAAAAAAAUUAAAUAAGGGUGAUUUUGUGAAAAAUCAAUAAUAAGUUACAAUAUUAACAAUAGAUCAACAAUAUUUACGUUAAUUAUAAAUAGGUCAAUCAUGUAUUGUUAUACUUAAAUGGAUUUAAAAUAAACAAAAAUUACAAAAUCUACCACUACAACUGUGGAUGCAAAUUUCUUCCUUCUUGUUCUUGGAUGAAAAUGCACCUGCAAAACAAUUAACACCUUAAGUCAAGGCCAAGAGCCUCACGCGCCCACGAUGAAUUUUGGGGGGGGGGGGCUUUGGCCGAAGAACCUCCAAUACCAAAGUUAGAAUUUUGAAGGAAAAGUGUUUGGAGAGUUUAGAGAAUUUUGCAAGAGGUUCAACUUAGGUUUUUGGAGAAAUGAAGUGGUAUUUAUAGGGAUGUGGCUGGCCCAUUUGGGAGAGAUGGGGACGGACCACUUGGGUGGUUUUUUGGGUGUGGUUCACUAUUUAUUAGCUAAUUAAUAAAUUAAUUGAGUAAUAAAUCAAUUAAUUAGCUAAUUAAUAUAAUUUGAAAGGAAUGAUUUAGGGGUUACCUUGUGGAGAAGAUUUGAUGAGGAUGGAUGAAAUAAGUUUUGAAUAAAUACCUAUUUUGAUGAUUUUUGACCUUGAUUGAGUGAUGAUUAUCCGCUGCUCGCACGUAGAAGUUCCGAUGUGCCUCGAGGGUAAUCUUGUCUUUUUAACCCAAAAAUCCACGUGUCACCUCCAUAUUUUUCUUGAUUAUUUUUGGCUUCAUAAAUGCCCCUAUACCUGUUGGGCUGCUCGUAGGAAAGGGUAGCAGGUGUAGAGAUCUUCUUGCUUUAGGAAAUGUAUGAUUGUUUCUUAUUUUGAUGUAGAUUCCAUCUUUAAUUGGAAAUUAGAUCCUUCUAGGAAAGGGAAAUAAAUCACUUCUAAAGUCUUUUUAAGUUUACCUUAAGUAGAUGAUUAAAUCAACUUUAGAGAGCAAUUUAUUCUACCCUACAAGUGAGAGAAAGCUAGAGGAUAUGUAUUCCCCAUACCUAGCAAUCUUCUACACUUGUCUGUGCAAAGGAACAUCUUUCGUUGCUUUCUUCGUCUUCUCCAUGCAGCACCGAGGUAAGAAAAUUUUAAUUUUCCUUGUCUUCUUCUUGGAUAGUGCUGUUGUAGGGCAGCUAUCGAUGUGGUGUGGCACGUUGGUUGGCAUGGGCCAGAAGUUAGUUCGACAUGGGCUAAUGAGGUGUUGUGGCAGGGACCACUGCUUAGGCUGCUCGGCUUAGUUGGAGCCAAAGGCAGCUUGUGCGGCUGGGGCCGCAGAUUGAGGCGUUGAGGCGUAAUGCUAGGCGAGCCGUAUGGCUCAUGUCCUUUGGUAGAGGCCCUGUCAUGCCCCUAGUGCCGAAAUAUGUACCAAGAUGUCCGUGGAGAGCUAAGUCUAGUUCACCUUUAGAGAUGCUUACUAUUAUGAAGAGCGAUAAAUUGGACUCUGCUGCUAAAGUGAGGCUAAGGCCCACUCCCUCUGCUGCUAAAACUGAUUCACUUGCUAGGAAAGAAGAUACUGCUCGCGUGGGCAGUUGUGAGAAAUCCACUAAGCUUGCUUUUGGGGAGGUUGGUGAGAUCUGUUCACUUUUGAAACCAAAUCUGCUUAAAGACAUGAACGCUUAUGCCAAGUUUGUCGAUGGCGUUAUAUGGGUUGUUUUCCCAAGUUUCUUUGCAAAACAUACGACUGAGUAUAGGAAGACUGCCCUACUUGUCAUGAUGCAGAAGACGGCUAUUCUGGUAGCCGAAUCUAUGCUCCUUGACAAAAAUGAUACCAAAGCUACCAAGGAGGUGGCAAAGGCUGUGGCAGCCGAAGCCUAUUCUUCUACUGAGAAGAUCAAAAGGUUGGAAUCUGAGCUCGUCACAUUUAAGGGGUCUAAUAUAUCUGCCCCCACUUCUUUGCAGUUUGAGACCGUUCACCAAGAGAUCGUUAACUUGGAAACUAGGUUUGACGCGAUCCAAGUUAAGUAUGAAAGUGUAGAGAAUGAGAUUGAAUGUUACAUACCUCAGAUUCAAGAUCUUGAGCGUGUCGUUUCUGAGCUUCGUUCCGCUGCUUAUGCAAAUGAUGAAGAGUUGAUUGCUGCUUAUAACCAAGUGAUCCACUUCAAGAAGGUCGUUGAUAGACUUGAACCCUAAAUGUUGGAACUCUAAGGUGUGCUGAAGAUCAACAAAAAAUUGAAGAAAUAAGUGGAUGAGUCGUAGCACGUCCGUGUUGGUCUGCUCGAGGAGAACGAGCAAUUGAAGGGUGAGAAGGCUAGGCUCAAGGCUUCACUUUUUCAGAGUCAUGCCGAUUUCUACAAGCUAAGUUAUGUAGAUCAUCUUUUUGGUAGUCCGUCUGACUUUUAGUUUGCUGGGAAAGACUUUGAAACCUUAUCUAUUUCUUUAGAAGACUUACUUACCUUUACUUUUGAGGCUUCUAUUGGUGAAGUAGUUAAAGAAGUUGGUGCCCAGGUUUGGGCAGCCAGGGCUGAAACACUAGAUGGUGCCGCUGCUGAAGGUGUGGCGACUGCUGAAGGUGUGGCGACCGAGUAGUCGUGGAGCGUCUAAGCUGCUGAGGAGUAGUGUUAUAUGUAGUCUUUAGGAUUUUCUUUGUUUUCCUUGUUGCUUUUGCUUUGCUUGAACUCUUUCAGUCUUUGCUAGUUGUUUAUCAAUUUUGCUAGAAAAUUUAAUAAACUUGUUUCCUUCGCUUUUCUCCAUCUUCUAUUCUUUUGUUCAUGCCCUAAUCUUUAGACUUUAUAGAUUAGUGGCAGGCGUGCUACUUUUCUAUAAGCAAACAAGCCGCGUAGCCUAUGCAGCCGUAGGUGUUGGUGUAGAACUUUGCAAAGUUGUUAGCCAUAGGGUCGGGAACUGGACGCCUUACAUACAGAAGCAGACAAGUCCACGUGACCACUAGGCUGUUAACCUUAGCUUUCUCCAAUUCCGUAGAUUACGUUGCAAGUAUCACAACACUUUAGGACUUGGUGUAGGUCGUUUUGCGCUUGGCAGAGAUGAAGCUUAUUAACUACUUAGCAUGUCGGCAGUGGAUAAAGCUUCGUAUAUGCACGCUAGCUUGUUUAACCUUUCAUAAGAAUAUGUGGUUGUAUAAGUCUAACGCGGCUUUACUGCUUAAAGGGCGCCGUCUUCUUUUGAAGUGAAUGAGUGAUCAGUUGUUGUAAGCAUGCAGUCAAGCCAAGUUGUAAAUUACUUUUGAAUUCUUCAUUGAAAAACAAGUGAAACAAAUGAGAAUUUAGCUGUAAGUUAAGAACUGCAUAACAAUUGGACAGUCAUCGACUUGCGAGGUGGUGCCCGUCGAGUUGGUUGAGUCUUCGGGCUUUGAUAUAGCGGGAGGUCACACAUGGUACUUCCUCAGAUGGUAGAUGUUCCAUAGCUUUUUUAUCUCUUUGUCGUUCAUGGUAGCAAGGGUGUAAUUACCCUUACAGCUUACUUUGCUGCUCUUGUACGGACCUUCCUAGAUGGGAUCCAUCUUUUUGGAGCCUUUUCUGCAGACAGUGAUGAAGGUUUUUCUUAAGGCUAGAUCUCUGAGUUGGAACUGCCGGAUUUUGGCUCUUUUGUUGUAGCUGGAGAUGAGCUGCUACUAGUAGAUUGUGAUGUGGGUGAUAAUCUGGUCGUGCUUCUCCUCUGCCAUAUCUAAGCUUACAGCCAUCUUCUUACUGUUCUGCUUAAUACUUGGCAAUAGAGUGCGGAUACUUUGCAUGAUAACAUUUGGGAAGAAUGAUUACUUCUAAACCAAAUGCCAAAGAGAAAUGAGUCUCACCAGUGGCUCGUCAUUUGGUCGUGUGAUAUGCCCAUAGGCAUCUGGGAAGUUGUGUUGCUUGAUGCCAUAUUUUUGGAAGAACUUCGCCAAAUCUUUACCCACGAAUUACGAGCCGUUGUAGGUGACAAUGGAUUGGGGAUGCCAAAUCGGCAAAUAAUGUGCCUCUGCCUUCAAUAACAGGCAGGAUUGGCCCUACCAAGUUGAUUUUCCAUUGCAUGAACAGCCAAUGACUCGUCUAUGGGUAUAGCUCGCUGGCAGGCAAUGCUGGUACCGACUUUUAGCGUUAGCAACGGUCACACUUUUGCACUAACUCCGUAGCGUCUUGAUGCAUGGUAGGCUAGUAGUAGCCUGCAUUAAGAGCCCUUUGCGCUAAGAAUCGACCUCUGGAGUGAUUUCCAUAAACGCCUUUGUGGAUUGAGCUUAGAAAUGUCAUUGGGAAGCACUAGCCAGCGGAGAUGUGAUCCAAUGUAGGAUCUUCGGACGAGAAUGUCGUUCCACAUGAAUUUCUAGACUCCAACCUUUCCAUUGGGAGUGUGCCAUUGACCAGGUAGUCUAUAAUAGAACUUUUCCAGUUUGGAGUUGUCCUAACCUGUGACACUUCGACUGCCAGCUUCGCCUCUAUGCUUACCUUGUCUACAUAUUCCAUCGGGAUAGAGCAUUUGAGUUGGUGGUCGAAGGUGGAGCCUAGGCCGGCUAGUGCGUCCGCAUGGGUAUUGUUUGCCCGCGAAACUUGAGUGAGGGUGUAAGUCUAAAAUGCCUCAAGUUACUUGCAUACUUUUGCUAAGUAUUGCGCCAUCCUUGGAUGUUUUGCCGUGUACUCCCUAAUAGUCUGGCUGAUGAUUAGCUGGGAAUCAGAAUGAAUUGUAAGCUUUUUCAUCGCCAAGUUUUUUGCCAUUCGGAGGCCUGCUAGUAAGGCUUUGUACUCUGCUUUGCUGAUAGAUGCCUUGAAGCCUAGAGUAAUCGCCUACUUGAGCAUCGAACUGUCUGGGGUGACAAGGAUCAUGCCUGGUCCCGAGCCUUAGUAGUUGGAUGUGCUGUCUACUUGCAAAUGCCAGAAGUUUCCAUUGGGUGAAGCAGGCAUGGCUAGGGUGUGCUCAACUGCCUUCAAAGCAUCGUUAUGUCGCUCUGUUGUGUCGCCGAGGCUAGGCAUGAAGGUGUGGUAAGGAGCCGUGGAGUUAGGGCCAUGUUACACGUAUCAGGAGAUGCUCAACUACCGGCAUCGGGCCGCUUUAGAGUUAAACCAAGACUUUCCCUUGUCCUUGAGUGAAAACGGAAACAAUCGCAAUCUGAUAGCAUCGUUAGUUGCCCCACGGAUCUUCAAAGUUUCACAUAUCUCGACAAAGUCGUUAAUAUGUAAAUUUGGAUCUUCAGUAGUAAGACCAUAAAAUGAUGGCAACAUCUGGAUGAACGACGGCUUCAACUCAAACUGAUUAGCUAUAAUUUCUGGGCGCACAAUACAAGACAAUGUGGCUCCAACAGUAGGAGCCGAAUAAUCCAUAAGGGCAUAAGUUUCAUUUGGGUCUUGAAGUGCCAUUCUUUCAAUUAGUUCUUGCUUCGUUUGCUUCCUUAGUAGGUGUCAAAACGUUCUGUCAAUUUCGGGAUUGUAUGACACAAGCUCAAGACUUUGAGAAUGACGCAUCAAUUAAAAUAAAACAAAAACACGUAGCAAUUGAAAUAAGAAAAAGAUAGAAUAAUUUCAAUCCCCGACAACGGCGCCAAAAACUUGUUGUAAAAUUUAAACUAACCGAAAUUAGUCCAACUUAGUUCCAAAUUUUAUGCUCACAAGCAUACGAAUUGUUCAAUAGUAUAGAAAGCAAGCACUUAAUAUCGUCCCUCAGAAAAUGAUUUAAUUCUUAUCACUAACUUAAAUCCAAUUGCAACGAAGUAAAAUUAGCAAAGAUUGAUGAAAGAUGGGUAUGAGAUUUGAAACUAAUAGUAAAAACAAAUGAAAACAAGAAAGUUUGACCACAAUGCAAAAAGUGGCAGCCAAGAACACAAAUUGUAAUUCAGUCGAGUAAAACGUUAGAGCAUCCAACUCACCAUGACCAAUCCAACUUAUUUUUUGCAGUGAAUUAUUAACAAGUACUCAACCUCAUUGAUAGUCAAAUCUCCCUAACACAUGUAAUAUCUAUGGCAUCUAGACUAUUACAUAUAUCCCAAUAUGAAACCAUCCAUGGCAUCUGUAAUAGUUUAACAUAAUGAAACUCAUUACGAUCAGUGGAAAUUUAUUUAAAGACUACACAAAUCCUAGUGUAUGGCAUCUACUACUAGGUAAUUCAUGGUAUCUAUUUGCAAGAAGCUAUCACUCAAGUUGAAAACAUGGCAUGUGCACAACUUGCAUCAAAUUUACCUAGUAAAAGUCAAGAUGGUAGCUAAUCACCAAGACUAAAACCAAGCAUAUAAACACAGCAAACGAUACUCAAUGAAAUUGAAAACUUGAAAUAAUUCACUUGAGAAUAUAAGCAUUCAUAGUCAUGGCUACAUCGUAGCCCUAGCUAAGGAAAAUUAGUUUCGAAACAUAGAUGAAAUUAUCAUUGUAUUCAUAAUAAAAAUGAGAAGAAAAUUGAGUUUAGAAAAAACGUUGAAAGAUCCUUAUGCUUUGCUGCAAUUGUCUUCCCUCCAUCUCUGCUUCCAAAAAAAUUGAUCAGUUCUUUUCCUUCUUUUUCCGUUUUACGUUUCCGUAACCGACGAAAAAUUAACCCUAAUUGAUUGAUGAUAGUAAAAGAGAGGAAACGGUAGAACAUUAAGGCACCCAAAUGAAUUCUGCAUCUGUUAACAUUAAGCUCGUGCCUUUAAUCUCUUUGCUGCUGCUCCCCCUUUGUUUCAAUAACUCUUUCAUUGCCAUCAAUAAAUCCAUUUAUGCAACAGCCAAGUCUCUCUCUUCGAUGCCUUCCCUCCAAAACCAAUAAUAAAAGAGAACACAUACCAUAAGAAAAUCAAACAAAUUAGGAGAAAGAAAAUAUGGGAAUAACAUUCCUUUGCAUUCGUUUUCCUUCUCCCCCAACUGUGUAACUCGAAUUUCACCUUCCAGGUCAUCUUUGCCAUUUUUUGAAAAUUACCCAAACUCCAAAAGUUAAGGUAAUCAACCCAUUGCUCUAGAUUCAUCUUCUCGCAAAGAUCCACCAACUGAAAAUUCGGUGGAGGAAGUACUCUUUUGAGGAGGGAGAGGUUGAUCAAAUUAGUUGGUUUUGCAUCAAAAGUGGGAAUUUUGAUGCAGGGGAGAGGGGAAAAAUGCUUAAGCGACUCUCGUCUUCCUCCUGGAAAUUAGGACAAAUCGCAAGCCUUUCAAUUAUCUUUUGAGAGAGGUUAAUUGAAGUUUGAUGCCUUCAGGUAUUGAAGUGGCCACAUGGAAGCAAAACAAAAAUGGUCCAUCUUUUUCUCCAAAGGAUAGAAAUAUUGCCAGCUUUUACCAUGUAGACCCUACAUAAAAUUUUUGAAAGUAAGAUGAAUUUAAAUAAGGGAGUUUUAACAAAACACUCCCAGUACUGUUCAUUUUUAACGAAAAACCACAUUUAUACAUUUCCUUGGUACUAUUCACUAUACCUUUAAAAAGGGCUUUUCAUUAAAAGGGAAGUUUUUUUGGACUUUUCGUUAGUUUUCCUUUUACAUAAUGCCUACACAUGAAUCCAAAAGAACAAAAGCUCCAACAACUUCCACUUUGACUAGAAAUUAGACAAAAAUCUUAGGAAUGUUGCCUUAUUAUUAAUCUAGUCAUAAAGGCACAAAUCUGUGAAAUUCCUUUCAUUUUCAUCAAACUUAUCACAAGAAAAUGUAACUUUUGGAGUAAAUAAAUAGUAAAAUAUGGGAUCAUCAAUUUGUAUCAAUGGAAGAGAUCCAUCGGUCCGGAAGAUCUCCACAAAAUUGAUCCGUAGAGGAUCUAAAUUCGUAUUUAUAAUAGCUUAAGCCCAUAUGACUUUCAUAGAGAGAGAAAGAGAGAGAAGGAUAGAAGAGUCAAAUUCUAACUAUUUAUAAUGACUUAAAACCUAUGUUGCAUUCAUCAUUGACCUAGGUCUAAUUAAUAGAAACAUAUCAUUGAUUAAGUCCAAAACAAAAAUAUGUCAUUGACAUAUGGCUUAAUAGUAAAGUUUUUAUUGACUUUUGGCUAAAUUACCAAAUAAGUAAUCUCACUCCCUCUCUCCCCACUUCCACAUUCACUCCCUUCCUCUCUUCUUCAAUUUUAAAAACAAAAAGUAUAACAUUUCGCACGCAAGUGUGGGCAUAUACUAGUUUUUAUUAUAAGAAUGCCAAAACUGUACUUUCGGUUCACAAGGCUUCACAAAAGAAAAAUGGGAAAUAAAAACCCCUAAAACAAUACAAUAGAAAACUGGCCGAAAAUAAUACAAACAAUCUGCACAUGUUGUAGUUAGGAAUGUGAUUGUGUACAUCCUAGUGUAUCUAGGGAUAUCUUUGAAUUUUCUCUUUAGUAGUUAAUAUCCUGUUAGAGUUGUAAUCCUAUUAGGGUAAGGCACAAUGGGGUGGAAUAGAACACACCUUGCAAUCACACAUCUCUCUCUUUCUCUCUACUAUGUCGCACCCUUCUCUCUCUGUCCUUUAUAUGAUUCAGUAAAUUAGGCCUACAACACGUUAUCAGCAUGCUCUUAAUGCUGCGCUAAAGAGAGUUUGAUCUUCAAUCAAGGGAGUAUUACGUUUUAAUCAUUCUUUUUAUGAUUAAUUCAUUAUUUUAUUGAAUUGAUAUGUUAUUGAUUCAAUUUAAUUUUUCUGUGUUGAACGUGAUACAAAGCAUUGGAGAUGCAAUUCCGACUUUCCGAGAAUGAUCUUCUACAAAUUCAAAGGCUCGGUUGUUUUCUGCCAAUUAGGUUCCUUUAAAAUAAAUUAAGAUAUUUGAAACUCCCCUAUAUUUAUAUUUUCCUUUCAAUUAUAUAUGUUGCAUAUGUGUUCAUAUAUUUUGUCAAUAUAUAUAUUUGUUCAUGUAAUACGCAAUUAUGCUAUGUGGAAUUGUGAGUUAAAGCAUCAAAAUUAAUUUAAAAGCACUUAGAGUUCUUUUAACUCUAGAAUCCGAAAAAAAAUCUGGGUUUUUUUUUAAUUGUUUUUUUACUGCUAAGCCGCCGUUAGCACCGAGUUAAGUUGGAUGGCUUAUAGCCAUGCCACCGCCUUGGGAUGACGUCGUUUGAUAUCAUGGACUUCUGGAGCAGCCCGUUAGGCUUUGCUGCAUGCACUGGACAGCCAAGGCGAAGGCUUGGUUUGGGUUUAUGAAACGGGUUUGCAGCCUUAGCCUACUCCAGCACAGCCUGAAGCUUUCCUAGGUUUGUCCCUGAGCCCUAGGCUCAUCACCAGUAUGCCUAAAGUUUGCUAGGUUCGUCCCCUUACCUCAGCCCGCAUGCAGCAACUUCCUUAGCUGUAGGGCUUGCCAUGUCAAGGCCCAACCACAAGCUAGCUUCGGUUGGGCUUUGUAACACCUCAACCCAAGUCAGUGAAUGCUAGGCUUGCUAGCACUCCGGCCUGAUUCCAUAACAAGCCGGCCUUGCCUACUUAGAAAUAGCCUUGCAGCCAUGAUUGGGCUGCCCCGCAACAACCCGUGGCCUACUAAGCCAUUUCAGGGCCUAGCCUUGCACACAACACCCAAGCCCACCAAUAUUGGGCUAUGGUUUCUCGAAUCCAAUUCUAUUUUUGGCAUUCUCUAUAAUUUUAACAUGAAUGUUAUUGUUAUUUUUGCUUCUACAAUUGACCCCGAAUGGUCUCGAUCUAUUGAAUUAAUUAAAGUGACCAGCAGUCCAUUAAUCUGACAAUUAAUCUAAAAUUAUUGGCCUGAAGUCCACUUUUUGGCAAUUAACAAUUCAAUAAAUUAUUUCUUUUCUUUGAACCGUUAACUACCUUUCGUAGUCCCGAAGCACUCGCACUUAAAUUCCUGAAGCAACCCAAAUCCUACUUAGUUGUAUAUUGUAUUCUGUGAUCUUUCAGGAACCUCUCUUUUAUGAACUAAAUGUUCAUAAACUAAAUUGAACAUGUAGUUUCGAAUUUAAUGCCUUUGAAACCCAAAUGUUCUAACUUUAAUGCUUAUGGAUAUCUUAUUUCCAUAGCACUAAUCACAAUCUUGUUCCCUUUAUUUAGUGGAUUGUUGAACCAUAACAAGUUCGAUUUCACUAAUUUGGACGUUUCUUGAUCGAAACAAGACGUGAAUCUCCACUUGACUAUUAAGAUGCUAAGUAACCAUUGAAGCCAACAAUGGCAUCGAUGAGCUGAAUAAGCCUCCGCCAUGAUCUUCAUUCGAAGACUUAUGCCCAAAGCAUUACAAACGGAAGUACCUCCUGAACAGACCCUUCCAGCUUAAGUGUAGAAAGUGGAAGGUUAUCCAAUUUUUUAAUUUGAUUACUACCACAAACGUGAGAAAAUGGUAUAGACCCAUCUUCGGCUGGAGUCUACCGAACAGUAUAGACCCAGCUCGGCUAGAGUCUACCGAAUGACUCAACCCAAUUCGAUCAAAGCCUAUCGAAUAGUGGUGCCCUGCUUUGGCAUAGGUGCACCAAAUGGUAUUGACUCUGCUUUGGCAAAGGCCUACCGAACCCAAGUAUGGGUCUGUCUCUUUCAUAAUCCAAUUUCGAGUUUGUUUUUACAACAUAUAGUAAAAUUAAGGUCUGCUAAGGUGUGACAUCAUGCCCAAAGUGUGAUCCUUGGCACCUAAGACCUAAAACUUCAAGAAUAAGGGAUACUUUUUCCAAACCUUAACCCUACAUAAUCUACUUCCAUCUUGAUGGAAUAAAUCAUUGGUUAUGCACCUAUUCGUGCCCUACCAAUGUCGUUGAGGAGUACCAUUCUAGUAGUCAAUAUACGAAACUAAUUUUGCUCUACCAAACAUCGUUGGAAGAGCAUAAUUUUGACAUGGAUGGCCUUGUAGGCUAAAUCCCCUUAGUAAAUCAUUUACUUUAUGAACAUUUUUCCAUGUUCCUCGAUUCAAGUUUGGUGUAUGUUUUAGUUAUGGAUAAUCUUAUUGAUAUUGUCCUCGAAUACGAGUUAAUUGAAUCAUGUUUCUUAAUACAUGUGACCAAAUUCAAUUAAACACGUGAUUAGGUAGGAAUGUGGGAAAGUUAGUUGUCUGGGUGAAUGUGAUACUACUCACACUAACUUUAUGCCUAAAUCACAUCUAGCAACCACUUCAGGUCUAUCCAACCUAAUUAAGAGCAUUGGCAAGCUCUUCAUUGUCUGAAUGGUACUAAAUUACGAUUUAAGAAACCUUACAUUCUCCCCGUUCCGGGAGAACGUUGUUGAGUCUUAAGGAUAUUCGAGAGAACAAUGAUCAUGAAUGAAACCACUGCAAAAAAUAGAGUGGAAUAUCUUUGCACCACCUUAAAAAAUGAGCCUAAAGCUUUGAGCUUGGUGAUUCGAGCAGUUUACUUGCCUUAGCAUGACCUUUUGGGACACUUAGGUCAAACAAUGAUGCUACGACGUAUCUCCUUACCCGAAGUAAGGAUCUUGUGCUUACAAGCACACUUUGCCAAGCCUGCUCGUAGGGGAAAUUGAUUUUCUAAAUCAUCCUUCACAAAGAUACGAAAUCACCCUUUUUUUACAGUGGAUUCAAAGGGAAUAUAUGAGGACUAAUUCAACUAAAAUAUGAAGCAUAUAAAUACUUUUGAUUUUGGUUGAUGAAUCGACAAGAUGUUCACAUGUUUGUCUACAUACAUUGCCAAUAAACCUCUUGGCCGAUUUUAAGGGUUCACCACCCCACUUAUCCUAUAAAGUUUGGAAGACUGGAUAAUGCCUAAGAGUUUAUAUCGAUGGUUUUCGAUAAAGUAUUGCAUGUCUUUUGGGUUUAUUAUUGAACAUCAAAUUCUCAUGUUCAUCCCAAAUAGCCUCAUAGAGCGAUCAUAAAGCGCAAUUUAAUUGAUCAUCCGGACCUUGGUGAAUGCACCAAGCUUUCAGUUUCUAUGCAAUCUUGUACGCAGCUAUGUUGGUCCACCUUGAGGCCUAUUGCCACCCAACCUAUUUGAUGUUAUAGUUGGUUACUGGGUAUGAACCUAAUGCUUCAUAUUUGGGUGUGCAUUCUAUGUGCCAAGUUGCACCGCCGCAACGUACCAAUAUAGGUCUUCAAAGAAGGAUGUGAAUCUUUGUCGAUUAUGAUUCUCCUUCACACUAGCUCUCUUAAAACCCUUGCAUGCAAUCUCUUUACCGCUCAUUUGUGGAUUGUCACUUCAAUAGGACAGUCUUCCCACUGUUAAGGAGAGAUAAAAACAUCAACGUUCCUAUAGAACGACACGAAUUUUCGUGGACAUUGACCACUAUGUCUCAUCUCGAUCCCCGUAUCACACAAGUGUGAUAAGCAAAUCCGAUGUAUUCUAGCUUUCAGAAUGUUCCUCCAGACGUAUUCCUCUAAUCUAGCUAAAUUGACGAGAUCAUAUACCAGCUGCAAACAUGCUUGUAAGGAUAGACGUACUUAAUGGACGUUGAGUUAACUUCUCCAAAGGGUGUGCCACCUCUGUUUAACGGUUUGGCCGCUCUUGUUGGACGAUCCGGUACACCAGCAGAUAAUCAAUCACUUUGUCUUGGCCUGGAGCAUGAUAGAUCACUCGGUUCAUACAAUUCACUUCCUUAGAAGAGGAAGACAUGACACAAAAUGAAUCUAUACCCGACCGUUGUCUCAAAUCAUUUCCAUCUCAUAAGAUUAAUCUAGAUUACUCCCGAGACUUAAAGUUCUUGGUCUAGUAUACUAGUUUGGAUGAGAUUAUGGAAUUAGAAUGAGAUUAUCAUCAAUGAUGUUUCACUUAUAUGGUAGUUACCGACAUAAAUGAAAAGCGACGAUAUCGAACUAUGUUUCGUUGAUUAGUGACAACGUAGAACUGAUUGGACUAUCGAAAUUACAAUCCAAGUUAAAUUUCUUACCAAAGUGUGAUUGGACCUAUCAUUCCUAAACUACCCAAGGUAACCUUGCUGUGUUACAAGUGGGAAAAGAAGUGUUAUGAGAUGAAUGAAAUAGUGCAAUAUGAUGAACGCCUUACGAUGCAAUGUUUCUCUCAAACGUCCUGUGAUUGACUGCAUCACUAUGAAUGUGGUUAAUAUUUCUCCAUGGGGAUAUUCAUACGUAGAUUUACAUGUAAGUUCCCGAAGAAUUACAUGGACUGUUUCAAAUAGUUCCAAACCAUGUAACACCCUCUUAACUUGUUUAAGGCAUUCACAUAUAGAUUGAAGCAAUUCGACAGAUAUGGUAUAUCCAUCGAAGUGAUUAUUUGAUCCGUUAGGGAUAUGAAUUAUGCUUUUGCAUGUUAAACUAUGAAGUCUUAUUCCGAAUUGCUAGAGUUACAGUUUAUGUCGUUGACAUAAAUCUUACUAAGACUGUAGAAGAACUUGAGAAAACUGUCUGGCACCUGAAUAUGGAAUUUGAGAUGAAGGAUCUUGGGAAAAAUCGUUUAUGCCUUGACUUGAAGUUAAAGCAUUGUUCUGAUGGUAUUUUGGUCUACCAGUCGAACUACAUCGCGAAGGUGUUACCUUUGAGUAUACCUAUGAUCUUCCAUAUGUUAUAUGCAAAUGAAACCCUUGAACAGGUUAUGAAACCUGAAGUUCCAUAUCUGAGUUCAACUUUGCGUUUUGUUGUACUUAGCUCAUUGCGUUAGACAAGACAUCUUCUUCGCUGUUGAUUUAUUGGUAAAGAUGCAGUGCGCCUACACGCAACAACUGAAUUGGUAUUAAAGAUGUUUUUCCACUACCUUAAAAGGUACUAUGGAUUUGGGCUAAUCCUAAAGCAUCUCAAGCGAAUCCGACCCUCUGAUCCUUGGAAUGAUGCUUGCCUUGUUUGUUAUCCUGAUGCUAGUUACUCAUCAAGCCCGCACAAGGCAAAAUCCCUAAAUGGUUAUGUCUUUACCGUUAGGGAUAUCGCAAUAUCUUGGAGGUCCACGAUAUGACCUUAGUUAUGAAAUCUUUGAAUCAUUUCAAGACUCACCUUACUUCAUUAAGCCAUACGUGAGACAUGGUUAGGAGCUCUUAUUGAGCAUAUUUGAAGUACUUACUGUUUUCAUCCAUCGUUGAGUCCCAAUGAUGAUCCAUGAAGACUAUGCGCAUGUAUCAACCUGACCAAGCCAUGAUACAUUAACGAAGUCAACAUCAAGACAUAUUUCGUCUACAUAAGUAAAUCAUCAAGAGAUUGAAGUCAUGUAAGCUGACCCUAGACAACCUUGUCGACCUCUACAUGACGUCACUGCCGAAGUUAACCUUCUAGAAGCUUGUUUGAGGAAUUGGUAUGCCUAACUAUCAUAUACAAUGCUUGUAGUUCUCAUUUGGAAGUUUUGUCAAACUCAGGGGGAGUAUCCAGAAGUAUACUCACUUGAUCUUCAUGUACUCUUUUUCCCUACGAUUAGGAGCACUUUUCCCACUAGGUUUUUGCUACCUAACUAGGUUUUGAUGAGGCACCCAUCCUGGGUGAGCUCUUCUACUUACGUCCAGAAGACUUAUAGUUUGACUUAAUGCAACUUCUCACUUUUCUCCUUAGUCUAUGGGUUUUUCUCCCACCUUGGGCUUUACCACAGCGAGGUUUUGUGAGUUUUACCUUUUAUGCGUUCAUCCAUUAUUUUGAGACUCGUAUUCACUCAUUGUGUCGACAACUUCAUCAACUAUACUUGUUUUAUCGCCGAAGACCUAAUGCGCCAUUUGUUUGAGUAUUUACACACUCAAGGGGGAGUGUUGCAGUCCUAUUAGAUUAGGAAUGUGAUUGUGUAAAUCCUAGUGUAUCUACGAAUAUCUUUGAAUAUUCCCUUUAGUAGUUAAUAUCCUAUUAGAGUUGUAAUUUUAUUAGGGUAAGGAUUUAACCUAUCCUAAUACAAUAAAUAAAGGUACAAUGGGGUAGAAUAUAACACACGUCACAAUUACACAUCUCUCUCUUUCUCUCUACUAUGCCGCACCCCUUCUCUCUCUAUCUUUUAUAUAAUUCAGUAAAUUAGGUCUACAACAACAGAGAUAAUUUUUUCAUAAAAAGCUGAAAUUAAAAAAUAAUAAAAGCAGUUUUCUUCCCACUAUCGUUCGAGAAGAACCAGCAUAAUCAAAACGAAAAGAAGUGAAAUUGUAAAUCUGGAUGGAUCAAGGUUAAAAUGCAAUAUGCAGGAUUGAAAUUAUGAUUCAAUCCUGAUUUUUUCACAACAAAAAUCAAAAGAGUAAAUAAACGAAGCCAAAGGAUUUGUACGAAAUCUCGCACGAGGAAAAAAACCCUCCACACAGGAGAGAAAAACCUCAAGGCACACAGCCAAUUUCACUAAAAAAACUUAAGGACAUAAUACAAGACUUAAUUGAUACUUUCUUACACCACAACAGAAGCUUGAUCAAAUACUCUUGUCUUAUAGAACACGUCCUCUUCACCUUCGCUUGGAUGAACACUGAUUCACGCAGGUUGAUGAUCUUCCUCACAGGCAAAGCUUACACAAAGUUCCAUGAUGAAUGAAUGAUGUGUUAUGCUCUCAGACUCUCACCUAGAUAAAGCUAAGAACCUAACCGUCUUUUGUUCCCCCCUCUUGACCUUAUAAAAUAAUCUCACAAAUAUAAUUAGUGUGCAAAAGGUCUACCUUAAAACUCCCAGCACAACCCUUUAUAUACUAGGUUAACUCUUUUUCCUAAUAAACAAAGAGAUUGGCCUUAUUUAAACCUCUUCCUUAUUUAAGACUAUGCAGAUUUGAAUAGACUCCUAGAAUCCCACACCAAAUCAAUCUUUAAUAGGGAACACAAAUCCUAUAUGAAUGCAAAUGAUUCUUACCAGAAAAAAACUUUGCCGUGUAAUAUUGGUCAAUCAUGUUCCUCAUUUAACGCAUGCUCCAACCUUUGCAAGUUACAAUUAAUCUUAAGACUAGGAAUAAUCAACUUAUAGACUCUUUACAUUUGCUAGGAAAUAGCCAACUUAAUUACACUUUCAAUCUCCCCCUUUGGCAUUUCCUAGAUAAAAUCCCCAAUACAAAAAAAUAACACCCGUUCCAGAGGACCUCAUUUAUCUGCACAGGCACGAAUUACCGGUGAAGCACAAAAGAUAAAUUACAAAAGAUAUAUUAAGAGUGACAAAACAUAUUCUCCCCUUGAAUCUAACGAACAUUAAGCAUAUUAGUACUCCCCCCUUUUUGUCAAGGGAAAUCCAAAAAUAACCAAGCAACAGAGUUCACAUGCAGCGGAUCAGAAAUCACAUAGCUAAGGUAUGCCAUGCUAAUAAAUGAUAGUUCAAAUUGCCAGUAAGUAGAUAAAUAGAGAGAUAUGCAUGGGAUAAAUAGGAAUAAAAUAGAAUGCCAAUCCCAAAGUGCAGUACUAGUUCCUCUUAGGCACAGCAUACAGGAUAGUCCAUUUAGUUUAACUAAAACCACAGGAGAUAAGAUGAAAUUUAAAAACUAGAAAACCAAGGAAAGAGUAUGGGAAUUUUAAAUAGCUUGUGUGAUGUAGUGUAAGUGUGUCUCAAGAAUGUGGGAUUAAGGAACCAUAGUCAACUCCCCUUACGAACCAAAAGAGCCUAUACAAACUAACGGUUUUGUCCAAACUCUGGGCAUAUUGUAAAUUUCUAUCAAAGCAAUGAAAUGAGAGAACCAAACUGAUAAUUGACAUAGAUGCUAUCAGUUGUCACAACAUUUAGACGUUUGCAUAUCCUUGGUGUGUGCCUUGCAUCGUUUAUUUAAAACAUGUUAUUGCUAGCGGUUGUCACAACGGUGAGACGUUUACAAAUCUUCGUUGUGUGCCUUGCAUCAUUUAUUUGAGACACAUUAUUGCUAGCGGUUGUCACAACGGUGAGAUGUUUACAUAUCUUCGUUGUGUACCUGGCAACUUUGAACUUUCUAUUGCAUGUCUUAGACAAGAGACUAGUACAAGCACUCUUUUUUUUUUUUUUUGAGCAAAGUGCUUAUAGGCAACCAAAGUGGGGACAAAAAAACUAGCGUAAGUGCCCCACUAAUUAGAAAGGCAUGAUCAAUCAUGAAUUUGUACCCCCACAAACACUUGAGAUAGUGAGAAACUGAGACAUGACAAAAACAAACAAAAUAGGAAAUAGCAAUGUCUGGUUCUCGAUAGACAAAAUAACACCUUAUAUCUAAUGGAGCAAAGAAACCAUAAUAGUAAUCCAAUUUGACAUCAAAAGAAUAGUAGCAGCACAGAGGGAUGAUAUAUAUAUAUAUAUAUAUAUAUAUAUAUAUAUAUAUAUAUAUAUAUAAAGACACAUAUGCAGACAAAAGACAUGCAUUACUGGCAUUUUGCAAACUACACAGUCAUGCAAUGGAGCACACACCAAUAGAUUGUCUAAGGUGUUCAUAUCGAUUAUUAUCCAAUGGUUUUGUGAAGAUAUCAGCAAGUUGUUUAUCAGUGGGAAUAUAUUCCAAUGCAAGAAGAUCAUCUUCUACAAGAUCACGUAUAAAGUGAUGCCUUAUAUCAAUGUGUUUAGUGCGAGUGUGCUCAACAGGAUUCUUUGAGAUAUUAAUUGCACUUUGGUUAUCGCAAAAAAUGAUCAAUUUACCUUGCACUAUACCAUAGUCACACAACAUCAGCUUCAUCCAUAACAGUUGUGUGCAGCAGCUUCCAGCAGCUAUGUAUUCAGCCUUGGCGGUGGAGAGUGAGACACAAUUUUGUUUCUUACUAUGCCACGCGACUAAGUUGUUUCCUAGAUAAAAAUAAUCCUUUGAAAUGUUUUUUCUAUCAUCUAUAUUACCAGCCCAAUCUGCAUCCGAAAAUCCUGCAAUUUCCACAUUUGAGUUGAAUGAGUAAUGAAUUCCAAAGCUUAAAGUGCCACUUACAUAUCGUAUUAUUCUUUUAACAAUAGUUAAAUGUGAUUGCUUAGGACAUGAUUGAAAUCGUGCACAAACACCAACACUAAAGGAGAUGUCAGGACGACUAGCAGUAAGGUAUAGUAGACUCCCUAUCAUGCUUCUAUACAAUGUUUGAUCAAUUGGUUCUCCAGUAGGAUCUUUGUGGAGCUUCUCUGUGGUGCUCAUGGGAUUUUUCACUGGUUUGGCAUUUUCCAAACCAAACUUAGCGACAAGAUCCUUUGCAUAUUUUGUUUGGGAGAGAAACAUGCCAGCGAAAUCUAUUUCAGUAGAGCGUAUGAUGUCGAUGGCCCGAGGUAUUUCUCGUCAUGAUCGAUCCACGUCCUAUCGACCUACAAACCAAGAAAGUAAUUCAAUUCUCCACACAUACUCAUCUCAAAUUCAUUACUCAUUAUAUCAGUAAAUUCAGAAACUAAAAGAUUAGAGGUAGAACCAAACACAAUAUCAUCCACAUAAACUUGAGCAACAACUAAAUCACUUUUAACCAGUUUGACAAACAAAGUUUUGUUAAUUGCUCCUCUAGUGUAACCAUUUUGAAGCAGAUAUGAAGACAACCUCUCAUACCAAGUCUGGGGUGCCUGUUUCAAACCAUACAAUGCUUUUUUUUCAGUUGGUAAACGUGACUAGGAUGAAAAUGAUCUUUGAAUCCAGCUGGCUGUUCCAUGUAAACUUCUUCUUGCAACACCCCUUUCAGAAACGCACUUUUGACAUCCAUCUAGUACAACUUGAUCCUGAGAUGGCAUGCAAUUGCUAGUAAUAAUCUUACUGAUUCCAAUCUUGCUACGGGAGCAAAAGUUUCGUCAAAGUCAAGACCUUCCACUUGAGUGGAACCUUGAGCAACCAAUCUAGCUUUAUUGCGAAUUACAUUCCCUUUCUCAUAUGUCUUGUUUCUAAAAAUCCACUUGGUACCAAUAACAUUGGCAUCCUUGGGCCGUGGAACCAAGUACCAAACAUCAUUCCUUUUGAACUGGUUUAACUCAUCUUGAAUGGCUAAGAUCCAAUCAUUGUCAACCAUGGCUUCUUUGACAUUUUUUGGCUCAAUUUGAGAGACAUAAUACAAGUAGCUUAUUUCUUCAACAUCUUGACUUCGAGUUCUCAUUUUAUCAUUGAGCUUCCCAAUGAUGUUUCAGGUUUGUGAUCUCUUUUUACUUGCUUAGCUCCAGUUCUAAGUGUUUGAGAUGAUGUGUCAUGGAUGUCUUCUGAGUUUGUGAUACUUGAAGCAUCAUUCACUGCAGCAACUUGAUCACUCCUACUUUCUGUUUGUAUUCCAAUAAGAUCAUCAUCAUCCUUCAUCUGUUUGACUUGGUCCAAAUCAAAAUCAUUAAUCACAACAUUUAUGGACUCCAUUACAGCCUUAGUUCGAGUGUUAUAGACCCUAUAAGCCUUGCCAGUUAGAGAAUAACCAAGAAAAAUACUAAUGUCACUCCUAGAGUCAAAUUUAGCGAGAUGUUCCCUAUCUUUGUAUAUGUAACAUGUACUCCCAAAGACUCUCAAAUGACUGACAUUAGGCUUUUUCUCUUUCCAAAGUUCAUAAGGAGUUGCUUUUGACUUUGGUCUUAAAUACACUCUGUUAGCAGUGUAACAAGCAGAACAUAUUGCCUCAGCCCAAAAAUGUUUUGCCAAAUUUGCAGAAUUAAGCAUUACUCUACUCAUGUCAAGCAAGACUCUAUUUUUCCUUUCAACCACCCCAUUUUGUUGAGGUGUGAUAGGAGCAGAAAAUUCAUGUGCAAUGCCAUGUUCAUCACAAAAUUCAGAAAAGAAAUUAUUCUCAAAUUCUAUCCCAUGAUCCAUCCUUAGUCUAAUGAUGUUAUCAUGUUUUUCAUUUUGAAUUUUCAUGCAUAAAACAGUGAAAGAUUUAAAUGCAUCAGAUUUAUCAUGCAAGAAAGCAACCCAGGUAAAGCGAGUGAAAUCAUCCACAAGAACUAGUAUAUACUUUUUACCUCCCAAACUUAGAUUUUGAUUUGGACCAACCAAGUCCAUAUGCAUAAGUUCCAAUGGUUUUGAUGUGGAUGAGAAGUUGGUGGGACUGUGUGAGUUUUUGGUCUGCUUUCCUAUUUAACAAUCACCACAAACUCCUUCUUGUUUUCCACUUAAUGUGGGCAGCCCACUUACAUAUUCUUUCUUUGAAAUUUUGAUUAGAUCUCUAAAAUUCAUGUGUCCUAAUCUUCGAUGCCAUAGAUUAGUGAUAUUGUUUUCAACCCUGUAGCAAACAUUCAAACCAUUAGCCAUAGCACAAUAGCAAUUAUCAUCAGACCUUGGUCCACAAAUGACCUUUUCACCUAUUUUUGUACUUACUAUGCAUUCAAUUUCAUCAAAUAUAACCUUACCAAAGUCAUCACUUAGUUGACUAAUACUCAUAAGGUUUGCAGUAAGGUUUUCAACAAGUAAAACAUUAUGCAAAGCAGGUAAACCAGGAGCUUUAACUGUACCUUCACCCAAAACCUUGGCUUUCUUACCAUCACCAAAGGUUACCGUGCCUCUUACCUUUUUAUCUGAGAAUGACUGAAACCAACAUUUAUCACCUAUCAUAUGCCUUGAACAAUCACUAUCAAAGUACCACUUGUUAGAGUUGCAAGAAUCCAAGGCAGUAAAGGCAACAAAACAUUUGAGAUCAUUAGACUCAAUUGAAGAAUGAGCAAGUACGUAGCAUGUGAUUCAUUCACUGAUUUAGUCCUUUUCUUUUCUCUCCACACAAGUUUCAUCUUAGGCAAAUAGGAAUUUGGAAUAUGAACGAGUUUAGACAACCUAUUCACUUCUCUCAAGAGAUUUGAGAGAUGAGUACGUGAUGCACCAAUAGAAAAAUUAUCAGAAUGAUUCAAGUAUUUUUUGUCACAAGAAGGUCGAAUAUGACCUACCUCACUGCAAGCAUGACAAGUAAGAACACAAGUCUUAGGCAUAGCACACGUACCUGAAGCUUUCACAAAUUUUGUUCCUGAAGAACUAUCAGUGGAACCAUCAAAACCCAAACCAGUUUUAUCUCCACUGGAUUUUCCAAUACUGAGCAUUUUGUCAAUCUUUUCCGCGCCAAUGGUUAAUCUUAUGAUUUUUUCUUUAGAAGCCUCAAGUUGUGAAGUUAAUGACUUGUUUUCUUUCUCAAGUUCAAACAAUCGAUAUUGAAACACAGUUUCGAUCCUACAUUUCUCAGUUUCCAAAUUUUUCAAUUUUUCUUUCAUGUCAAAACUAUGCUUUCUAAUUUUUACAGAGACAUGAUAAAGUUCAUUAUAUUUUUGAAGUAUUUCUUCAGCAUCAAGCUCCAGACUAUCAGAUUCCUCAAGAUCAUCGAUAUUUGCAAAUCCCACAAAUGCAACUAUCUCACUUUCCGAAUAUGAAUCUAAUUCACUGUCACUCCAAGUACUCUUCAUGGCUUUGUUUUUUUUUUUUCAGAUUUUAAUUUCUUCAAGGUGUUAGCACAUUCUUUUGUCUCAUGUCCAAAACCCUGACAUUCAUAGCAUUUUCGACCCUCAGUUUGUUUAAUAAGUCUGGAACUUUUUGCAGAAUUAAAAUUGUUUGACUUGAAGGGUUUAGAUCCUGAACUUGUUCCUUUUCCCUUAAAAUUUUUACUCUUGAGAAAUUUUUUAAACUGUCUAGUGAUUAGAGCAAAUUCCUCAUCACCAAUUUCCUCACUUUCUUCACAUUCUUCUUUUAUAGCUUUUAGGGCAAUGUUUUUACUCCUUUUCACAGUAGGAAGCUCCAUUUCAUCGGUUUUCAAAGACCCAACUAAUUCUGCAAUUUUCAUUGUGUUUAAGUCUCUAACUUCUUCAAUUGCAAUUUUCUUAGGUUGAAACCUAGAAGGUAGUGAUCUAAGAACCUUUUUGACAACUCUAGAUUCAGGAAUUUUAUCCCCAAGAUUAGCACAAGCAUUGAUGAUACUAUUUAACUUAGCAUAGAAAUCAGAAAAGGUUUCAUCUUCUUCCAUUCUAAUAAUUUCAAAUUGAUUGACAUACCUUUGAAGCUUUGACUCUUUAACAGCAUUUAUUCCUUCAUAGGUGACCUGCAAGAUAUCCCAAGCCUCUUUGGAGGUCUCACAAUUUGAAAUAUUAGAAAACUGAUCAGGAGAUAAGGUAGUAAAUAGAGUGUUUAACCCUUUUUGAUUAUUCAUGGAAUGAGUUUGAUCAGCCAGUGUCCAUUCUUCAUGAGGCUUGAGAACAACUUCCUCAACGACAAUGUGUUAGACUUGAAAAUUUGUCACACGUGAAGGGAUGAGUGUUGAGAAUGAAUCCCAUAUUGAUGAGAUGAGGGAUCUUAUAUGGGUUUAUAAAUAAGUUGGACUUCUCCCCAAAUUGACAAUUAGUUUAUGGUGGAACCUUAAUUUUUUUUUCAUGUUUUGCACAUGCAAUCACAAAGAAUGUAAAACUCGGUGAGAAAAUUGUUGCAGCAAAAAGAAGAAAUCAGGAUCCAAAAUCGAUCAGAAUCGAAUGUUUGAGUGAGUUGGUGGUUUAAUCACCAUCUAUAGGUUUGAGAAUUUGUAUCCCUAACAAUUUUGAAAAUUUAUCUUCCAUUUUAUGGGUUUUCAGAAUGUUGGAUGAUAACACAAGUGGAAUCGUUUUACUGUCAAAUGGUAGUUUCUUUGCUUGUGCUUACUAAUUUGUAUGGUAUAUUGGCAACAUUAGUUAUAUAGAUUCAGUGAAUUUUGUAACGAAUUGGAGUGUGCAUGAUUCCUUUGUUCACAUCACAGGUGGAAAAAAGCUUUACUUCACAACGUACUACGCGUGACGUAAAGAAGAAUUUGAAAUAUCUUUUUAGUUGUCAAUUAGGUCAUCAAUUUAGUCUAUUCCCAAAUAUAAAUGCGAAAAACAAAAUAAAAUUAUAGCGGUGUGCUAUCCACACACCUCUUUUUACUUCUCACACACCCUUAUUAAUUUCUGUCCGUUGAUCUUCUUCAAUUCAUCUAAUCUGAUGGCUGAAAAUCAAAAAGGUAUGAGAGAAGUAAAAAUGGGUGUGUGGAUAUCACACCCCAAAUUCUAUACGUCGCGUGUAGCGUGCAAUGGUUGAAAAAAACAAAUCUUUCGCAUGUGCGCAUAGGAAAACUAGUAAUGUAAUAAUGCUUUGAUUAUAGAAAGGUUGUCCAAGUAUUUUUUGAUAAAAAGGGUUUUGUGAAGAUUUGUCAGGAUAGUAGGAAGAUGUUGACGAGGCAUAUAUUCUAAAAACUAGAAAGUGCCGGUAAUUACCUCGCCUUUCCAGAUCCGAGCUUGAAACUGGAAUCAUACAUAUAUCCAUUCCGAUCUGUUUCAAAUUCUGCACACACUCCUAAACCAAAUUUUCAGAUCUUCUACAAGAACAAAAGAGAAUGUCAAGCUACUCACACCCUCCUCCCGGCUAUGGCUAUGGCUACGGCUACAGCUACGGCAGCGCUUCACCUCCAGGUCAACCCUACGGUGCACCGCCGCAAGGGCAGCUCCAACACCAACAGCACCAGACAGCCCAACCCUACGGUGCUACGUCUGCACCGUACGGCUCUUCAUACAAGCCAGAGAAGCCGCACAAUCCAGCUAAGCCUCUCAAGAAUCAAGCCAGCGGAGGUGGAUACCCCGCGCCUGCUCCGAGUUACGGCAGCCUGUUCGCGGCUUUGGUUCCAUCGGUGUUCCCGCCGGGCACGGAUCCGGAAACCAUAGCUUGCUUUCAGCUGGUAAUCAGGACGGCAGCGGCUUCAUCGACGACAAUGAGAUGCAGAGAGCUCUGUCGUCGUACAAUCAGAGCUUCAGCUUGAGGACUGUUCAUCUUCUCAUGUACC